rnacentral:lncRNA from 1 species
UAACAAUAAUAGAUAGUAUGGUAGAAGGAUUCAUAUAUUUCUUUCUACCAUACUAUCGGAUCUCAUAGAAUACUUCUCUCGUAGACUACUGAUAAUUCUAGUCCGCCAAUUUCAUUUAAGACGCGAAAUUUUAAUGCUUUUCAUUUUUCUUAUCUUCAAUCAUUGAUAAGAACUAAAACGGCAAGGUUAAUUCAAAUUAAUCACUUUGACUGAUUGUUUUUACGUAUAUUAUAAGUAAAAAGGCGGUCGGAACUAGAAUGAACAGUGCAGUAGCAAUAAAUGCGAGAAUAUUUACUUCCAUAAUAUCAUCGUUUCAUUUUUUAUUCGCAAUAACUCGGGAUUUAAUCCCAUAGAGAUGAUAAAUGUUUCGCUUGUAAAUUCAAUGGGAUGCAUUGUAUCUCGAUGAUAUCGAAUCGUAUUAAAAUAUCAUGAAUAACAAUAUCGGAGCUAUCAAAUCGAUUCAUCGUCGAGAAUUGAAUAGUAUAACAUAGGAAGAUCUUUUAUCCAUACCGAAUUUAAACAAAAUGGGAUUCCUGAUGCAAUCAAGAAUUUCGUUACUUUUUUUAUUUAUAAUUUUUUGCAUUCUUCCUUUUCUAUAAUCUACCGCCCUCUUAUUCAAUGCAAUCAUCUGAUGAAGUCUCAUCAGACUACCUUUACCCUUACAUUGUUUAUAAACAAACUCAAGCAAAGAAUAGUAGUGAAAUUCAAAAAAGGAAAAAGAGGUAGGUUCGAACUAAACUCCUUCCUUUUUUUGUACUUAUGAAAUCUUCUUAAAAAAAAGAAAUAAAAACGAAACUUAAACUUUCAAAAAUUCUUAAUUACCUCACUAAGAGAGAUAGAUGGGAUCCUUGUUUGUAUGAAUAUCCUCUUUCCUUGAAUUAGUAGUGGGACGUAUAUAUCAAAAGUUAAGUGUGAAAUUUGAAUAAGAUGGAUUAUUUCAAAUUAGUAAUUGAAUUUACUAAUUGAGGUUACAAAAAAUCGGAGCCAGAACGGAUAUAUUUUGCUUUAAGACGAAAAAUUAGAUCAAAGUUUACUAUGUAAACUUUAUUUUGUAUCGGUCCAAAUUCCCUUUAUGUAUGUGCUUUCCGGAAACGUAUAGUACUCUAUUUCAUUAGAAAAAUCGGGCGUAAUCAACUAGACCCAGUACGCCUUCGAAUCCUGAAUAUGAUGCUACCAAUAAUUGUAGUAAUUCACAUAUGGCACAUAUGUCUUUCUCCCAUCAAUUAGUACUCGUUGAAGAAAUAAAAAUUCCCAUAUUUUUUUGUUGAAAAAUGUGGAAAAAAAUCAGAGAGAUCCCGUUUGGAAUAAAAUUACGUUAUGUUAUUUGUUCUCUCUUUCACAGGAAGGGAAGAGAUUAAGUAUUUUUUUUUAUUGGAUUUGGAUCCAUCGGGACUAUUCAUAUCAAAAUUCAUCAACCUCAAUUUCAAAAUUAACACCAAUCAACUUACGAACAAGAAACAACAUACAACUUUUUACAAAUCUAACAAGAAUGUGUUAUUUUUAAAAAUAGUUAAAUACUCUAAAACAACGGUAAUUUAAUUCGUGGAGUUGAUGUUGUAUUUAUGUUAAUUUGAUGUGAUGUGUCUCUAGUAUUUGAUUCUCUAAUUCACUCUUGAAUGUCUAGGUUGAGUCUUGAAAGAAAACUAAACUUCAAUCAUGGAGGUUUUUUUUUUUAAGCUCUUGAGCGAAUUAACUUUAGACAUUUUAGAGUAAAAAAAAACUCCUCUAUUUAUAAAGUUGUUUGAUAGGCUUUAUGGACUUCGGUCUAAUUGGUCCAUGGACUAGAACUAUGGCCUAAACCACGUAGAUUUGAGUCAUAUUUAACAUUUGAACUAAAUUAAGCUUAUUUUUGGGUUUAAUUGAAUUUUAAUCUAAGUAAAUAAUAUUUAAUUGGAUCAAAAUAAUUAACUUGAUCUAAUAGUCAUAAUCAAAUAUUAUGUUUUCAUCAUACUCAAACAAAUUUAUGUUUACCGUUUCAAUUUAUGAUACAUGUCAAUUUUUGAUUAGUUGGAAAUUGAAAUGUUUGCAUAUUUUGAAUAUUAAAUUUUUACUAUUUUUAAUUGGUCCGAAAUUUAUUAUUUAACAACAACCAAAUUUUCUUUUUAAAAAAAUUAAAGCUAAAGUUAGAAGGGAAAUUAAGUGGAAAUAUUUAUUUUGUGAAUUAAGAAAUGAUUGAAAUUACAAAUUGGGAAGGUGGAGGAGUGAGAGUGAAUUUAUUUAACUUCGAAAGAGAGAAAAAAGAAAGAUGUGAUAUUGAUAGCGGCAUGGGGUGUCGCUUCAUGGUUGCCAUUCUUUUGUCGCCUUUUUCUCUCUCUUUCCUUUCUACUAUUAAUUAUUGCUUUGAAUUAAUAAUUGUAUGUCGUUUUCUUCUGUAGAUCUCCACUUUCUACAAAGAGGUGAUUUGAAAAAUUGGGAUGAUUUUAAAAAAAAAUAUGGAGAAAAAGAAGUGGGUUAAAAACUAUUUUGAUAAAAGUGAUGGUUUUUUUUGGCAUUAUUAGAAUGGGUCUCUUUUCUAUGUUAUUUUUCUUUAUUUUUUAUGAAAAACGAGGAAAUAAAGUCAGUGGACCCAUUAGUAGUGGUUGCGGUAGCGGUAGAAUAUAAAAGUUGUCCAUUUUUUUCCAAUUGUCCCUUAUAUGAAUAUGAAAUUUUUAAAAAUAAUUGUAAUAUUUUUACCAUGCACAAAGAUAAUAAAUCAAACAUUUAUAAUUUGAGAUUAGAUGGUAUAUUUAGCUUUCAAUGGAGUUACCAUUCUUUUAAUCAUGUGCAUGUGUUUUUCAACAUUCAAUCACGGUAUAAAAUUGUGAAUCUAACCGGUUUCCUCCACAAACUUGGAUUGUCGUUGAUAUAAAUAAGUUGGGCAGUACAAACUUUGUUAUUCACCAUUACACAAUCCUUCCUACGCCCUACACAAGAUUCAUUCAUCCAUAAAAACUCAAAAGCUAUGGCUACGAAGCUCGAAAAUGGCUUCCAUACUGAAACCAACCCAAAGGUCACAACGACAAUGGAAGCAUCCCACAGUCCUACAGUUAACCCACUAGCCAAUGGUAUAGCAGCUGCUGACAAGCUUCGUAGCCAAUCUCGCAGCAGUCAUAAUAAUGGCGCCAUCACGCCCUCAACGGUCAUAAUCCCACCUCCCACAACUACCCCGUCCACGCUUGGGCACUACCUAGCCCGUCGUCUGGUUCAAAUCGGUAUCUCCGAUAUCUUUUCCGUUCCGGGAGACUCUAAUUUGGUGCUGUUUGAUUACUUUGUGGCAGAAAAAGGGUUGAACCUUGUGGGAUGUUGUAGUGAGCUUAAUGCUGGCUAUGCGGCUGAUGGGUAUGCUAGGCGCCGUGGUGUUGGAGCAUGUGCUGUAACCUUCACAGUUGGUAGUCUUAGUCUCAUCAAUGCUAUUGCCGGUGCUUACUCGGAAGAUCUUCCUGUGAUUUGCAUUGUGGGUGGACCAAACUCUAAUGAUUAUGGAAGUAAGAAGAUUCUCCAUCAUACCAUUGGAUUGCCGGAUUUCGGUCAAGAACUUCGAUGCUUUCAAAAUGUCACUUGUUAUCAGGUAGCUCCAAAAUCUAAAUAUUUUCUCAAAUAUUGGAAUAUGAUUUUUAGGGGUUAAAAAGUGAUCUUUUAGUUUAUAGAGUCCGUGCGAAAUUAUUUUAAACAAUCAGUACUUGACGUACUUUAGUUUAAGUUAUCAUAUUCUUGGUUUAAGAUCAAUAGUAACUCAACCAACCACUCAACGUCAAGAUAUUGGAGCUCUAUAUUAUGAUGGGUCACACUCUCUAUCUAGUCUGUCGCCUGAUCCAGCUAGGUUCAAGCAUCCCUCAGUAAUUGUAUGGGUAAAAAAACAAAAACAAAAGGUGCUACUCCAAACAUCCUCUUUUUACUUGAAAAUUCAAAUAUUUCCUUUCUUUUGAUUAAAAUCACGUGAGUCGAUGGAAUAGAUAAAAGAACUCAUUUUUUUUUGGUUGUACAGAAACGUCAUCGUUACAUAAAAUUAAAGAGAGAAGCAAAUCUACAAAACAGAAAGCAGUUCUCUAUAGCCAAUAAAUGUUAAUAUAUAUUCCUUUGAUCUAAAAAAUAUCCAUAUAUUCCCUCAAUAACUUUGACAGGCAGCUCAUAAAUCUAAAUACCUUUUUCGAUAUUGAAAUAUGAAAUUAAUUUUAUGGGCUAAAAAGGUAACUUUAGUUUACAAAAUAACUUUGAGUGAAAUUAUUUUAAACCGGCAAUUCAUUGUUUUGUUGGUCCACUGGAACUCUAAAAUAUUGUCUAACCACAUUACAUCAGAAAAGCAAAUAUGUCUUAGCUUGUUAUAGCGUAUAAAUAUCCAAUUAUUCUUUGGAAGCUACAUAACAUUGAAAGGGUGUUAAAUUAAGUUUAAGUUUGAUUAAAGUAAUUUAUGAAUGUGAUUAUAAUCAUCGUCGAUUAUUGUGUUUCUGUGUGUAGGCCAUUAUUGACAACUUGGAAGAUGCACAAUGGCAAAUAGACACAGCAAUUUCAAAAUGCCUAGAAGAAAGCAAACCAAUUUAUAUUAGCAUUUGUUGCAAUUUGGUGGCCAUCCCUCAUCCUUCUUUCUCUGCUCAACAACUCAUCCCACUCUCACUCUCCUCCAAGUAAUUCUAAUUUCCCCUCUCAAAUCUAACUUAAUAUUAAUUAAUAUCUUUUCAUCGUUUGAGCCUUUCAACUCUUGUUUUUAUUUCUAGUCUCAAAACUUUAAAAUAGUUCAAAUUUACUUUAGAGAUUUCAAAAUUUUCACUAUUAAAAAUGUUAAAAAUUCAGUAUUUUAAUCCUUAUUUUCUGGAUGAUCAUUCACAGGGAAAGUAACCAAAUGGCUUUAGAGGCAGCAGUAGAAAAAGCAGCUCAACUACUAAACACAGCCAUAAAACCCGUCAUGAUCGGAGGCAGGAAACUCCGACUAACCAACUCACAAGAACCAUUCAUCGAACUAGCCAACGCUUGUGGGUACCCCGUCGCCGUGAUGCCGUCGGCAAAAGGCAUGUUCCCAGAGAACCACCCACAUUUCAUCGGAACUUACUGGGGAACAAUCAGCUCCACCUACUGCGGGGAGACGGUAGAAAUAGCGGACGCCUCAAUCUUCGUGGGAGCCAUUUUAGACGAACUAGAUACCGUUGCCUUCUCACUUACCUACAAAAAGAACAAAGGCAUUAUGGUAGAAGCCGAUCGAGUUGUGUUUCCAAAUGGGCCGAGUUUGGGGCCAAUAUUAAUGAAGGAUUUUCUACGGGCUUUAGGGAAACGAUUGAAGCCCAAUUCAACGGCUUACGAGAAUUAUAGGCGGAUUUAUAUAGCGGAGUCGGGUCCACUAGAAUCGGGUCCGGGUGAAGCGUUACGGGUGAAUAUUGUGUUCAAACACAUUCAGAAAAUGUUAUCGAGUAAUAUGGCUGUGAUAUCAGAGGCGGGUGAUUCUUGGUUCCACAGUCAAAGAUUAAAACUACCGAAAUCAUGCGGGUAAAACACAUCUUUACCGAUUACAAUUAUCAUUUUGGUCCGAGUAUAUAAUAUGAAAUGGUUUUGGAUAUAUAACAUGUAGGUAUGAGGUGCAACUCCUUUAUGCAUCUAUAGGAUGGUCUUUGGGUGCAACUCUUGGAUAUGCACAAGCUGCACCGGAAAAGCGAGUGGUUCUUUUUAUUGGUGAUGGCAGCUUUCAGGUCCAUUCUUGUUUUUAUAAUCAAUUAUAUUAUUUAAUACUAUUUUCCUUAAUUCAUAUCUUCUAGGUUAAAUUAUAAAAAAAUUGUUCUUGAAUAUAUUUUAACUUUCAAAAGUUUUUAAAAUACAAUAAAUAAAUAAAAAGGGUUAAAUAUGAAAACUGUUAUUUUUUUUUUUCGUUUAAAUUUUUAAAAGUUGCAUUUAGAAUGAUUGCUUAUCUAAUUUUAAAAUGCUUUUAUGCUUAAUGUAUAUGUUUUAUUUUAGAUUUUUUUUAAGAAAAAAUAAAAAAUAAAAGAUAUUUUUGUGUUAAGUUAAACAUUUGUAAAUCAUUUGAAUGUUUAAAAAAUAAUUCAAACUAAGUUAAAUGUAAAAUUAUUAUUUUUGAAAUAAUUGGAAUAAUUUACAUGACAGAUGACUCCACAAGAUGUGUCUACGAUGAUAACAUUGAAGCAAAAUAAUAUAAUAUUUUUGAUAAAUAACGGUGGAUACACAAUUGAAGUUGAAAUUCAUGAUGGCCCCUACAAUGUUAUCAAGAAUUGGGAUUACACUGCCAUUGUUAAUGCUAUGCACAAUCAUGAUGGAAAUUGUUGGACUACCAAGGUAAAAUCUCCCUACUCUAUGUGUAUUUAUAUUUUAACAUGCGUACAAACAACAUGAAUUAAUAGUUAAAGAGAGAAAAAGUGACAUGGUACAUUUUGCCACAUUUUUCUAACUUAAAGUUUUGGUUGUCAUGUAGGUUCAUACUGAGGAAGAGUUGGUAAAUGCAAUCGAGAUAGUAUUGAAAGAAAGAAAAGAUAGUUUGUGCUUCAUAGAGGUUAUUGUUCAUAGAGAUGAUACUAGUAAAGAGUUAUUAGAAUUUGGAAGCAAGUUUGCUAAUGUUAGUAGUCGUCCCCCAAGAGUACUCCUAUGAAAUAGAAAAUUGAAAUAAAAAAUUUGGUUCACAUAGAAUGAGACUCAUGUUAGAAUUUAGUUUGUACGAUUUAAAAAUAUAGAUAUCAUAUUCAUAUUCAUAUCUAUAUUAUUAUUAUUAUAUAUAAAAGUAUGGAUGAAGAGAAACUUUCUCUUUCAUAUAUGCUCAUUUCAUUACCUGACUUUUUAUUUUUACUUUAACGAGCAAUUAAGUCAUUUGUCCAAUUUUACCCAUUCAUUUCAAAAGUCAUACUAAAAGUCACGACUUCUAAAUUUUAAACUCCCUUAAAAGCAUUAAAUUAAAUUCAUAUACACUCAUAAAUAUCUUCAAUAAUAUGUUUUGCUCAAACUUUUGAUAUUCUUCAAAUUCAUAAUUAUAAAUGUGACUUUUCAUUUACUAUAAAUGUUUGAUGUUGUUCAAGUUUAUAACCAAAAGACUUUUUAUUUGCUCGCUCUAUAUCACAAUAAAUAUAGAUAUUUUUCUAGGUUAGACCUAACCCAAGUAACACUUAUAUCGUUUUUUCUUCAUUCUUUAUUCAAAAUAAAAAUUUCUCAUCUUUUAUUGUCUUAACAUAGUUAUUUCAUGUAGAAGAUUUUAUUCUCAGUAGUUAAGUGCUCAAACUUAAACUUUGUACUUAAUGAUAUAGAUGUUCAAGUAUGGAACAAAGUUGUUGGUUUCUUUCUUAUAUGUUUGUUAACGUUGUGGAUAUAGUUAUAAUUGUUGAUAUUAUGUAUAUAUUGUGAACAUAGUUAUGAUUUUUGUUGAUUUUUUUUCCACCCUUAUACGUGGAUGACCUCUAAAUUUUCUUUUAAAAUUGUUUAUUUAAAAGUGAAAAUGUUGAAAAAACAAAUAUUUCUAAAUAUAUAUGUACGUCCUUUUUCAUCAUAUUUUUUUUUUCUAUUUCUCUUUCAAUCUCAAGUUUCUUUCACCUUCCUAUCUCAUUCAUAAAUUCAUUUAUCUCACAUAAUAACAUUCUUAUCAUUGUCAUUUCUCAAUCUAAUCAAAUAUAAUUAUAAAUUAUUAAUAUUAAUUAAGAUGAUAUAUAAAAGAUUGCUUAUUUUUUAUUUGCAAAACUAUUUGAAUUCUAUAUGACCAUAGAUUAUAAAUUAAAAUAAAAAUUAGAACUAAUUUAUAGAUAAUUAAAACAUGUAGUUAAACAGUAUUACAUCCUUACGUAAGUUUUGUAAAUAGAAUCUUUAAAUAAAAACUAAAUUAAGUUCAUUCACACCUAGACAUAAAUAAUGUCAUAAAUGUAAGUCAUAAAAAACUAAAUUUUUAUUAGUUAAAUAAAAUUUAAAAACAAACAAAAAUAAAUUAAUAAUUAUUUAAUUAUAUUUAUUUAUUGAAAUAUAAAAAAUUUAAAAAUUUAAAAGAACUCGAUUACAUCCUCAUUUUCUUAGAGUGAUACAAGAGUUUUCUUGGACUCUUUUUCAUCUACAUAUCCUUUCAUUUUCUUUCUUUAUAAUUUAUAAUUUUCUAAUAAGUACAUGGUAUAAGACAUUUGACAUGCAUAAACGUUACUAGUGUUUGAUAAAUCCUCUUCCAUACAAGUUCUUAAAGGAUAGAAAUGGCCUAGAAGCAAAGUACAUACUUUGAAGAAACCUUUUUUUUUGUGAAGUUUUUGUGAAUAGGAUAGGAGGGUGAAAUCUCAUAUCAAGGGUGUGGUUGAAUUAUGUGAUCCCUACUAAAGAAGAAGGUUUCUAUCCUUUUGUAUGCCCAAUUUAGUGGAGGGGGAGGCCACAAUUUGAUACGUUGGGGGUUUACCAUGCAAUUAUGGUGUUGUGAGAACUGACUUUGGAUGUAGAUCGACAAAGCAAAAUUUCAAAAAUUAGAGGGUUUGUUGAGGCCACAUAAAUGUUUGGUUAGUGUGAGUAUAUCAAUCCAAGCAAAAAUUUUCAUAUAUGAAUAUAUAUCUCAAUGCAAAAAUAAGCUUCUAAGCUUUUAAAAGCUUGAAUGAUUAAUGUAUAUACCUCAUCACCCCUUUUCAUUUUCUCUCUCUUCCCUGCUUCAAUCAAUAAUUGAACAUUUUAUUUUCUAUAUUUUUCUUCCUUUAUUUAGAUGAACUCCAAAACUUUCUAGAUAUUUUGUGUAAUUUAACCUAUGUUUAACUUUAGUGUUUUUUUUAAGAAAACACAAAAAGGAAGAAGAUAUUUGUGUGAAUAGUAAAAAAUUUGCAAAUCACUUGAAUAUUUAAAAAAUAAUUCAAACUAAGUUAAAAUUAUUACUUUUUAAAUAAGGUGUGAAAUGAUUUCUGUGACAGAUAAUUCCACAAGGUGUGUCUGCGAUGAUAACAUUGAAGCAAAAUGAUAUGAUAUUUUUUAUAAAUAACUGUAGAUAACAAUGUUAUCAAGAAUUGAAAUUACACUGCUACUUGUUAAUGCUAAGCACAAUCAUGAUAACAAUUGUUGGACCACCAAGGUAAAAUCUCCCUACUACUUUUACUACUUAAGUCACUUAUACCUAAAUAUCACUCUCCUACAUGUAUUCAUUUUUUAAUGUCAAAUGCGCCCAAACAUAAAUUAGAGAAAAAGUGAUCUUUACUAGAAGUCGGCAGAUUUUGGCACAUUUUUCUAACAUAAAGUUUUGGUUGUCAUGUAGGUUCAUAUCGAGAAAGAGUUGGUGAAUGCAAUUAAGAUAGUGUUGGAAGAACGAAAAUAUUGUUUGUACUUUAUAGAGGUUAUUGUUCAUAGAGAUGAUACUAGUAAAGAGUUACUAGAAUUUGGAAGCAAGUUUGGUGUUGUUAGUAGUCGUCUCUCAAGAGUGUUCCUACGAAAUAGAAAAAUGAAAUUAAAUUUUGGUUCAUGUGUGGAGACAAAUGUUAGAAUUUAGACUUUACGAUUUUAAAAAGAUAGAUCUCAUAUUCAUAUAUAUAUUUGAUAAAACCUUGAUAAAUCUUUCUUCUAUACACGUUCUCAUAGGGUAGAAAUUAUCCCAGAGGCAAAGUAGUUUGAAGAAACUUUUGUUUGUGAAGUUUUUGUGAAUAGGAGGAUGAAAUCUCAUAUCCAACAAGGGUGUGAUUGAAUUAUGAUCCUAGAAAAGAAGAAGGUUUCCAUCCUAUUGUAUGCCCAAUUUAGUUGAGGGGAGGCCACAAUUUAUGCUUGGGGGAUUUACUAUGCAAAGAUGGUGUCUGCAUAUCAAUAGCAAAAUAUGCAAAAGAAAAAACAAAAUCAAAACUUAAUGUAAAAUCAAUCCAAACUAGCAAAAACUUUCUUUCCGUUGUCAAAUCAUUCAUUUGACCAAUUUAUCCAUUCUAGACAAACUAAUGGGGCAAAUCACAUCCACGUCCACAUGAUAGUUUUUAUCCAGAAAAAGUAUCAAAACAUACUAAAAAAAUCAUGCAUUUCUUUUCAAGUUUUGUAGAACAGGCGUAUUUUUCUAUGAGGUCAUAAAAGGUCCUAACAGUAUGAGAUUUUCAAUAUCUCAACAUGUCUUAUUAAGAUGGUUGUUCGCACGAGAUUUUCGGAAAAAUCUUAUUUGUGGUGUUGAACUUGAGUUGAUAUUAUAUUUUUGUUGAUUUGAUGCGAUGUGAUUCGAUCUCUAAAAUUUGAUGCUCUGAUUCUCUCUCGAUUGGAUGCUUACGCUUAAUUUGAGGAAGCGGAGCAUGUGAUGUUCUUAAAGUUGAAGUCUUAGAAGAAAGUUUGUAUCUUCAAAGAAGCUUUAAUCUUCGAGGGAAGUUUAAGUCUUUGAAGAAAGUUUUGUAAUUUCAAAGAAGCUUCAAUCUUCGAGGGAAGUUGGAGUUUUGGAAGAAAGAUGGUAGAAGUUGGAGUCUUGGAAGAAAGCUUGUAUCUUCAAAAGAGGUUCAAUCUUCGAGGAUGAUCGACUUUAGGAGUUAGAGAGUCUUUUAGCUCUUGACCUUACUCAUUUUUAUUUAUAGAGUUCUCUGAUGAACCUUAUGAGCUUAAGUCUGGUUAGUUCAUGGGCUCAAUCACAUGAAUUUGUGUCAUAUUUACUCUUUAGUCCAAGUAAAUAAUAUUUAAUUGAACCAAAAUAAUUAAUUUGAUCCAACGGUUAAACAUGUGACAUUAUGGACCAAUUUAUGUUUUUAAUUUGAAUUUGGGACAUAUUAAUUUUUUAAUUAGUUCUAAAUUAAAUUAUUUACACUUUUCACCGUUAAUUUAAUAAAUGAUGUGAUAAUUUGUGAUUGAUCCCAAAAAAAUUUAUCCAACCAUGAUUUGAGUUUAUAUUUACCAAUCUUUAAUAAAACUUUGUACUAUAUUUGAUAGUAUACGAUUUCAUCUCAAAACCAAUUAUAAAGUAAGAGAAAUAACUCAUCUAUCUUAUAAAGAAUUAUAAAGCUUUAUAAAGCAUGAGAGUGAGAUUUUUUUUAUUUUUUGUGUAGAUUUUCAAUACCAAUAAUUUAAAAUUUUCGUUUUAAGAACGGAAACCCAUUAUUGUUGGGAGAAAGUACGUCAUCAUGGAAUACCAACGUUAAAAUUAAAAAUUUUCAAUUAUUCAUUUGGAAGUAUUUGGUUUUGAGAACAAAAAGUGGAUCAAUCAACCUCACCUAUGUAUUUGUAUUUUCUUACUGCCAAUAAAGAAUAGCAAAGGAAUCAAGAUUUGUUGAGAAAUUCAGAUCUUCUUUGUCCUUUUCUUUCAAAUAGCAUUAUAGAAUCACUGAUACAAAUCAAUAUUAAAUCACUUUUAUAUAUAUUUAAUCUUAUUAAACCCACUAUUUUUCAGAACACUCACAAAGUAUUAAUUAAUUGUUUAAGGCUUAGUUUUGAGCUACAAAACAAACAUAAAAAUUCAUAAAAUUCAAUUUAACUAAUUUUUAAUUUCUCAAUAUAUUCAUUUUACCCUAAAGAUGAAUAAAUAUAAGUGACUAAAGACAAGGGAAAAACAAAAUUCUAAUUCCUUAAACCCAUUUUUUAUUUGUUUUAAAUAACAAAACUACUAAAAAUCUUUACAAACAUCUCUCCAUACAUAAUUAUAAUAUGUUAAUGUCUAUUGAUAUUUUAGUUCAUUUUGUUAACAUAUAGUUUGCAUGUUUAAUAUAUACAAUAGUUGAAUUAUUAGCUAAAUCUUAAAGACAAAUAAAUUUUUAAAAGCGUGUUUUUUUAAUUUUUUGAAAUUUAACUUAUUUCUUAAACUAUUGAUAAAAAGUGGAUAAGAAACAAAGAAAAAAAAGCGUAAAAAUGGAACAAAAUAGUUACAAGUUUGGUUAUAAAUGAUAAACAACUAAUAUGAAUGAAUAGACACUAGAAUAAAUUUAUAGACAAGAGGUCACCCGUUUAAAUUUUGAGCACCAAAUUUGUACUAAUAUAUUAUAUAGACCAUGGACUUCUCUGUCCACGUGAAACACACUCGUAAAUUAAAUAACGAAAGACUUGCAUAAGUUGGCAAUGUAUUGAUAAACAACAAGACCCACACUGUCCUUUUCCUUCCCAGAAAAAGAUAAAAUUAAAAAAGAAAAAAGACACAAUUUAUUUGGUAAGAGUCCCUAUAUAUAUAUAUUUAUUUAUAUUUAAAAAAAGAUCUUAUUUGUAUAAAUAAGAACAGUUGCUAAACUUUAAAAUGAAGAUUCAUAAAUUAAAAUAAUGUUUAAGUGGGAUUAAGUUCAUCAUUACCGACAAGAGUUAGUGAAAUAAGAAUCAGACUAGAAUGUCAUUCUUGUGAUUUUGUUUAUUGAGAUUUGAGACUAAGAACUCAAAGAAAUGAUAGAUUUGAAUAUGAAGGUUGAUUAGGGGUGAGCACCUCAUCAAGCAUUAACCUAAGGUACAACACCUCUUUCAUAUUUCUUUCAAUUAAAAAUGCAUUGCCCAAAAUCUUUGCCAUAUAGAUAAUCUAAUGAUAGUUACUAACAUUAAUAAAAAUUUAUUUUGAUUAUUACUAAUAUAUAUAUACAUAAUCAAAUAAGAAUUAAUUAACAAUAACCAAAGCUUAACUCAAUUAAAAUACAGAAAUACCUUCAUUAGAAACAAAUUUUAAGUUUGUACUUUAUUUGAGUUUCCGAGAAUAAAAUAAGUCAUUUUUUGGAACCAUUUUUAUCCAAUUUUUUUAUAAUAAAAAUUAUAUAUAUAUAUAUAUUUUUUGGCCAAUCAAUCCAAACAAAACUUGUUAAAAACUGUCUAAAAGAAUUACAACAAAAGCAUGUCACCUAAAAAUAAUUGGAAUAAGUUUUCCUUCUUUAUUCAAACGGGAGAGAUUUAACAUCUAGUGUGGAAGUCAAUAAUAUAUUUUUGAUAUUGUGGAGUCAUUUUAAUUAUUUUUUUACAAUAAAAAACAACACUACAUUGUUAAUGUUAAAGUUAGCUAUUUGAUAAUUAAUUAAAAUAAAAGUGAUAUUUGAUCAUUCUUUAAAAUUACUUUUAUUGAAUUGUAAAGUGUAAAUGAAUAAAAUUUAUGGAUGUAGGAAAGAGUAAGAUAUUUAUUUUCAUGUAAUCCAAGGGUUGGAGAAAGAAAUCUAAGUUGUUCCACCAAAAAAACAAGUAGAAGAGAAUUUAGAGUAUUGUUAAAGUUGAAUUUUCUUUUUCAAAAUUGAGAUUUGGGAAAUAUAUAGCUUGGAUGUUAUCUUUCUAUACUUUUGUAUUUAUUUUUUGAGUAGCUCUACCGUCAACCGACAAAUGCAUAGAUGAGGAAAACUACGAGUCAUUAUCAUUGUUACAUCUCCUAUUCCUAAAUCCCGAUUCCUUAGCUCACCAUGAAAAGGAAAGAGAGAAGUUAAGAUUAUAUAUGAUUGAUCAAGUCCCUCCCUUUAUACAUUUAAAAAAAAAAAAAAAAAAAAGAAAGAGAAAGAGAAAUUCUGAUGAAUAAUGUAACUUCUCAAAAUGAUUAUUAAAAUAUUGUAGUUGUAAAAAUAUUUAUAGAAAUGGUAUAGUUUUUGCUCUCUUGGGUGGAGCCUAUGACAUUGCUUUCUUCCUCCGAUUCACGUUGCUUUCUCUUUCUAACGUGUUGGAUUCAAAUCUAACACUUUUUUUUUUUAAAAAAAAUAUUUUUUUCAAAAUUUAAAUUUUAUUAUUGUUCUUUACUUUCUUGUUCGUUCACUCUCGUCUUUUUUUUUUUUUAAUACUUUUUCACAACUUAAAUUUUGUUAUUACCUUCUUCCACCCAAUAUGAAAAUUUGGGAUGAAUAUCUUUAAAUAAUUAAAUAAUUAGAUCAAACCAUAUUAAAAUUUUGAUUUGUUUAUAAAUUAUAUAUUUUUAUCCUUUAUCCAUUUAAUUUAUAAUUGUAUUUUUAAUUAUUAAAAAAUAUAAUUCUUUGAACCCUAUUUUAAUAAUGACCUAAAAUUGAAAAAAUUAAAUGUAAAUUAAAAUAUUUUUUAAUAGCCAAAUUACAUUUAUUUAAAAGAUAAAAGAAAAUCAAUGUGUUCCACAACUCGAACGUCGUCAAUUUCAAUCUGGUUGUCGUCAUCAACUCUAAUCUAUGUUGUUAUGGCUCCUCUUGGUUCUCUGAUUCUUGUUGGUACUUUUGUCGAUCUAAUACCUUUGGAGGUGUUUCAUAGUAUAAAUAUUCGUUAUGUUUUCCAUGGUCACAUCCGUGUCAAUGCAUGUAAGAAGUUGAUGGAUCGACAUCCAUGUAUAUGAAGAUGAUAGACUGAUCGUCAAAUCAUAAUAUCAUGUACCUACCUCAAAAUCACAAUAUUAUGCUUCAAAUGUUGGUUUCAUCAUCAUCAGACUAUCAUAACCAGAUUGGCUAUGUUUUUGUGUCAUGGGAGGCACUUUUUCCACAUUAUGGUAAGCUUCAUCAAGUCCAACUUCUUCCGCUCAGACAUGUCCCCAAUGACACAAAAACAUAGCCAAUCUGGUAGAUAGUACAUAUUAUGUUAAAAUCUAUGCUCUUGCAUAUCGCUGAUGACGAUUUCCUCCUCUGCGUCAUCAUUAUGUUUGAGAAAUUGUGUCGCUAACCACAUGAGACUUAAUGUUGAUCUCUUUAUUUUAUUAGCAAAUGAGACCACACCAAGUAACAUCUGACAUUAAUUUUUCCAAUCUUCAUGCACUUAACUGACAACAGGUUCCCCAUUAACAAGUAUCCCUAACAACACUUUUACGUCCGAAUCUUGAAGUAGAGACAAUAUGUUACGAUGAAGUGGGAUAUUGCAUUGGAUUACCCCCUCUCUACGUAUACAAGCCAACUUACCUAAUGUUCUAUCAUCUCACACAAAUGAAGAUCGAUGAAAAGAUUGAUAAUAUAGAACAUUAGGAUCAAUCUUAGGAUCAAUCACUCGUGGGUUUAAAGCCAUAAUCUACAUAGAAAAUAGUAAUUAGAAAGUAAAAAAGUAGGUACAACAAAAAAUAUUACAUAAUGGAUUAUAUAAAAUAAGUUUAUCGAACCACUUGGUACACAUACAAAAAAUAAAUUGAAUACACAAAUUUUUAAUUAUCUGGUGUUCGACUCUGUAGCAAAUGACAUUUUCUUCGAUUAUGACUUUGUUGACCACAAAAUCCACAUUGUACUUGAGCACUCGAUUCCCUUCAAUCCAUCUCUUUAUGAUAUUGUGAAUUCUUUAGUCAAUCGAGUUUUCUCAACAAUGAUGAGUUAGGAUGUAAGACGGGCAUAACAUGUGUGAUCUAGUAAUCUUCAUGUGGUACAAGUUGAAAUUAAGGAGAGUAACAUGAAUCAUACUUUGAAAGUUUUUAGUAGUCCUUAAUGAAAUCUUCGUAGUUCAUGUUAAAUUGUGAACAUACAACCAUAAAAUAUAACAUUGUAUGCCAAAAGUCAUUUAUUACAUCUGAAGCAUUCAACCUUAAUAUUUGAAUAUUUCCUUCUUUUACAUUAAGGCUAUGACGUCUGGUUUUCACAUGAAACACGGCUUUAUGUCGAUCAACACCUCAUGUUUACUAGAUCUUGCAACCCAUUUCAAGCUUUUAUUAAGUGCGUAACUGCAAAGUGACUUCACUUAGUAUUGUAGACUUUGUUUAAAACUAAUCGCGUACGUGUUAGAAAUAAUUACCGGGUGUAUUUAUCUCAAUGCUGGAAUGAAAAUCUAAUUUCUUCUCUUCUUUUCUCAAAAUAAUUGAUACAUCGACAAUAUUCAAGCUCCUUUUAAGACUUCAUUCAUGCACUUUAAUAGAUUUGUCGUCAUUUAUCCGUACCUAAAUAUGUUGUCAUGUGCUUGAGUCAAUUGUCCAAUAUUAGUUGUUGUUAAUUCACGUGAUGUCUUCAAUUGCUUUAUUAAAUAUUUGAAUUUAGAAUUGACAUUCGACACGAUAUACAUAAAUUUUCAAUGUAUUAAACUUAAAUCUUUUAUAAAAGUUGUUGACAAUAUGAUACAAAUAGAACCUACGGUGAAACUAAGGUUCUAUACAUUCGUUAACUAAACAUAUCUCAUCAUGGAAUACAAUUUUUUUUAGUGUUGCAAAAAUCAAAUAAUCCCGGAGGGUUGUUUGGGACAAUAACUAUCUAAGACUAUAAUAACCACCUCCUUGUUAUAGUAAGUAUUUUUUUUUUUUUGUAAUCCUCAAUUCUAUUUCAAAACUCCAAUUUGCUAUGAUAUUUACGUUCAUCAUUAUUUUACUUUUAGUUAUAAUAUUUACUAUUUUUUUUCUCAAACUAAAAUAUUUUAGUUCGGGUCAAAUACAUAUUUUAUUAUAUCUCAAAUUAAAAUAUUCUACACCCCAAACACAAACCAUUAUAACUCAACUAUAAUUACAUAUGAUUAUAAUAGCUAACUCCGAGAGCAUAUAUAUCUUAUAAACAUGUUUACAUGUAUCUCUUGUUGCAUGUGUUAUUGUUACUUUCGUAAAUUAAUUAAUUGUCAAAUCAUUAGUUCCCAUGGGACAAUUUUUUUUUACAUCUUUUUUAAAAAAUAUUAUGUUAUUUUUUUUUUGUGAAUAAUAAGAGUGGUCAAUGUACAUAUAGAGAAUUGAUUUAUCUCAAGAUGCACCUAAAAGUAUUUUGCUUUAUGAAAAGAACUUGAGUGCCACCUUGUCGCAUCCAUCUAUUUUGUAAUCUGAUCUCCAUCCAAUAAAAAUAUAAUUUUAAUAGAAAGUUUAUUCCUAUUUUUUUCUAUCUAUAACAAGGAAUUCACCUAAUAAUUGUACUAUACUCAACUCAUAUUUGUCCAUUUAUUUAAAAGUUUACCUACUACACAAAAGUAGUUGAUAACAAAAAAAAGCCACUUGUUAAACAUGAACACAUCCACAAGAAAGUUUCCAAAGGUCCUUUGUUUAUAUAUAACGUGAAAAUUAGACAAUAACGUAGGAGUGAUCGAUCAAUGGGAAUCACGAUGUGGAUAAAUAGUUUAGGCGUCGGUCAACUUUUACGAAUGAAUAAGCUUGAAAAUGGCUAUCAUUUCCAAACUCAAACCAGGCCAAUGGUAGCCUAUAGCCCAAGGAUUGAGCGUGUAACCAAUGCCUCAUUAGCCUCCGAUAAAAUUAUUAGCAGCAAGAAUAAUGGCUCCCCAUUGGUCAUAGUCCCACCGCCUACCACUGCACCAUCGACACUUGGCCAUUACUUAGCCAGUCGACUCGUUGAAAUCGGUGUGUCUGAUAUCUUUUCAGUCCCAGGAGACUCUAAUCUGGUUUUGUUUGAUUACUUUGUGGCAGAAAAAGGGUUGAACCUUGUGGGGUGUUGCAACGAGCUUAAUGCUGGUUAUGCGGCCGAUGGUUAUGCUAGGAGCCGUGGUGUUGGAGCUUGCGCUGUGACAUUCACUGUUGGUAGCCUUAGUCUUAUCAAUGCUAUUGCAGGUGCUUACUCUGAGGAUCUUCCUGUGAUUUGUAUUGUGGGCGGACCAAACUCAAAUGAUUAUGGAAGUAAGAAGAUUCUUCAUCAUACAAUUGGGUUGCCGGAUUUCAGUCAAGAACUUCGAUGCUUUCAAAAUGUCACUUGUUAUCAGGUAGCUAGCAUUUUAAAUUAAAAAUAUUAUUCGUUUACUGAGUACCACUUGGAUGCUAGGGCAAGCAAUAAAAAUGAUUUUGGAAGCAUCUAAGUUUUUCACAUACUGACAAUAAAAAGAAGUGAUGUUGAGCAGAAGUCCUAAAUAACUUUUCUUUUUUUUCCUUUCUUUCUUGUGGUUGUGUAUAGGCCAUUAUUGACAGUUUGGAAGAUGCACAGUGGCAAAUAGAUAAAGCAAUUUGCAAGUGUUUGGAAGAAAGCAAACCAGUUUACAUUAGCAUUUGUUGCAAUUUGGUGGCUAUUCCUCAUCCUUCUUUCUCUGCCCAACCACUCAUCCCCCUCUCACUUUCUCCCAAGUAAUUAUUUUUCAUCCCAACAAAUAUUAUUCCAAUUUAAUUUAAAGGACAUAGUAAUUAUGAAAAUAAUGAUAAGAGAUUUCUUCCCUCAACAAGCAUGCAAAUUUAACUUAAUGUAGCCUAAUGGUCAUGUCUAUUGCUAUCUUAAUUUCUCUUCAUCUACAUUAAUAAUUUUGGUAAAAGUACAGUAAGAUAAAUGAAGAUGACCACAAGACAUAUGACCCUUGCAUUAGGAGGCUAUAACAUUCACAGUUAUUCCCAACUAAAAAAGGGUAGAAGACAAUAUAUUAGAUUUUAUUUGUUUGUGAAGAGUAGGUCAUGACUUAGUAUGGUUCAUUGAUUUAAAAAAAAAAAAAAAAAAACUCAAAAUCAAAAUCUUUUUUUUUUUUAAGUUUAAAAAUAUAACCUAUCAUGAUUAACCAAUAAUAAUCUUCUAUCCUAUUGCUAAUAUACCUAUCAUAUAAUUAGAUAAGAUCUAAAUUUUGCUACAUUCAAAUUUUUAUUUGCAUGGUUUAUAUCUACAAAUACUCAGAUAUAAUUACUUUAUUUGCAACUGUGUCAAUCUAAAUAUACUCCUCAAAUAUCAAAUUUAAAAAAUAAGAAAGUUAAUCCAUGAUUAAUUGUUGCUUAACGAUAUUACAGGCAAAGUAAUCAAAUGGGUUUAGAGAUGGCAGUGGAAAAAGCAGCUGACCUUCUAAAUACAGCCAUCAAGCCCGUAAUGAUCGGCGGAAAGAAGCUACGACCCGCCAAAGCCGAAGCAGCAUUCCUAGAGCUAGCCGACUCUUGUGGCUACGCCGUCGCGGUUACACCAUCGGCAAAAGGCAUGUUCCCGGAGAACCACCCACAUUUCAUCGGAACUUACUGGGGAACAGUGAGCACCGCCUUCUGCGGGGAGACGGUGGAAAUAGCGGACGCCUCAAUUUUCGUGGGAGCCAAUUUAGACGAACUGGAAACAGUCGGCUACUCACUUGCCUACAAAAAGAACAAAGCCAUAAUCGUAAAACCAGAUAGCGUUGUGUUUCCAAACGGGGAGAGUUAUGGGGCGGUUCAAAUGAAAGAUUUUCUUUGGGCUUUGGGUAAACGGUUGAAGCCCAAUUCGAGGGCGUAUGAGAAUUAUCGCCGGAUUUACAUAGCGGAGUCGAGUCCACCGGAAUCGGAGGCGGGGGAGGAAUUGCGAGUAAACGUUCUUUUCAAACAUAUUCAAAAAAUGUUGAGCAGCAACAUGACUGUGAUAGCGGAGACUGGUGACUCUUGGUUUCAUUCUCAAAAACUUAAACUACCAAAAUCAUGCGGGUAUUUCUUUUCUCAUCCAAUUUAAAUCUUUGCUUCCCCAAAGCUUUGAUUAUAUUAUUUGAUCUAAAAUAUCAUUUUUAUCCCUUGCUUUCAAGGGAUUUCAUCUCCAUGCUAUUUUAUUUAUUUAUUUAUUUAUUUUUGUUAUGCAUAGAAUUUUAGUUAAUUCCAUUUUUGUCUCUAAACAAUUCGUAUAGUUACCAAUUUUCUUUUUUAAAAAAUAACUAUUUUGAUCUUUUAAGUUAAUCAAUUUUAACGAAUUCAUUAGAUACGACUGUGAUAUAUUUGAAAGAUGGAAAAGUAACAAAUGAAGGAGCAAAUUAACUGAAAGUGAUGAAAUGUGUAGGUAUGAGGUACAAUUGUUGUAUGCAUCAAUUGGAUGGUCUUUGGGAGCAACUUUAGGAUAUGCACAAGCUGCUCCACACAAGCGUUUACUUCUUUGUAUUGGUGAUGGAAGUUUUCAGGUCAACUUUUUUAUAUCAAUACAUACCUUUCUGCUAUAUUUGAUUUAUUAUUUUUGUUACAUGCUUAUUCUAAAGUUCAAAUUUAAAUACUUUUAAUUACUUUUUAACUUUAUAUUAAAAGGAUUAUAUCGUGACAGAUGGCUCCACAAGAUGUGUCUACAAUGUUAAAAUUGGGACAAAAAAAUAUUAUAUUUUUGAUAAAUAAUGGGGGAUACACAAUUGAAGUAGAAAUCCACGAUGGUCCGUACAAUAUUAUCAAUAAUUGGGAUUACACUGCAUUUGUUGACGCUGUAAACAAUCAUCAAAGCAAUUGUUGGACUACAAAGGUGAAUUCUCCUCGUACCUUUAUUUCUCAUGUACACUUUCUAUAAAUGAUUAUUUUAAAAUAAAAUGUUGUUUGCAUGUUAGGUUCAUACGGAGGAAGAGUUAGUAAAUGCAAUUGAAAUAGCAAUGAAAGAUCGAAAUGAUUGUUUGUGUUUCAUAGAGGUCAUUGCUCAUAGAGAUGAUACAAGUAAAGAGUUACUUGAGUUUGGAAGCAGGAUUGCAGCUAUGGGUAGUCAUCCUCCAAAGCUUUUGAAAAAUUGAUUUAACAGCAUAGUUCAACUGCCUUAUGGUAAAUAUAGUGCAAUAUUAGUAAGAUCAAGAGGUUUUUAUGGUCCUUUAUAUUGAUUAUAUUUUUUAUAAAAAAAUGUUGGAAAUGUGUGCAAAUUUAUGUAAGAAUUUCAUCAAUAUUUUGGCCUUUCUUUUUAAAAUUAGGAGAUAAACUAAGACCAAAUAAUAUAAUAUUGAGCAAGAGAAGAACCUUUUGUAAUAUCCACAUUUCUCUGUUAUAUUUGUUAUAUAUAUUUGGGCUCUUGAUUCUUGUAGCUACGAUUUGUCACUUAAGUUUCUAACAUUAAACAACUUUACCUAUUUAAUAAUUUGUCUCAACUUACUUAUCAUGGUUUAAAUUCACUUAUUUGAAAUAUUAAACUUUAUCAAAGUAUGGUUUCGUUGAACACCUCAAGUUUUAAUAAAGAUAGUUUUACUCUUAAGACCAGGAAAAAAAAUUGUAUCUUCUCGAUUCUCUUUGUGCUUCUUGAUGGAGUGUCAUUCCACGACAAACAAAAAACUAUAUGGACGAGCUCAAUAUGAUUUAGAGAUUAUGAAAUUAUUUGUUAAAAAGUUGGUUUGAUAAUAUAUAAUUGUGUUGAAUGUUUGGUAGUAUCUUAAAUUUGUCCAAGAGGUACGUGUGAAUUUGUCACUUGAGUUUAAUGAUUAUGAUACUCUUAAUUUUAGAAAAGUGUAUGUGAGGAGUCUCUAUUUUGGGUUCUAUAUAUAUGGUUCUUAUUAAUAAAUUUUUUGAAAGAGCUAGGGUAGAGGAGAUAAUGUUACUAAGCAAAGACCAACCGUGAGGGAUUUUGUGUUAGAAUUGACAGAUGGAGUAGUGAGAGAGAUUCUGCCUAAGAUUAGCUAGUUGGUAAAUAAAGUUUAGGGUCAAAUAUAUCAUUUUGCAUAAGAUUGACAUUGCUAGUUGGUCUCUUUCCUCCCUUUAAUCUGGAAUUUCUCUCCUUCUGACCAAUAUAUACUGUAUUAAACGGGGACUUCUGCUCAAUUCUAUAUUGAAGUCUCUAUGUUGAAUUAAGCUAUGUGUUAUAUUGGUUAUCAUGCUCUGAUCUAGCUGCUCAUUUGUUAUCAUUGUUUGAUUUGCCGGAUGUUGUUAGCUCAAAAACCUAUGUUCUUACCAAUGAGUAUAUGAUUUAUAUGUUUCUAUUGUGUUCUUUCCUUGAGCUUUAACUUGUUGUAGGGGCAAGAUGGCGAAGGUCUAGUCCCCAACCUUUUCCAAGAAUUUAAUGAUGUUAUUGGUUUGAGAUAAUUGUUGUUAUUGGACAUUGUUUACGACAUUUGGUUGUUAUGGUUUUUAACUGAACUGCGAUAUCUUGUCCUAAAAUGUAAUUGCUAAAGGUCGACGAAAGCUUGUUAAAGAUUAGGGGUUAGGCUAUAUUUGUUUAAGAUUGCCUGGCUUUAGUCUUUGGAGUUGCUUUCCUAGUUGUCUAAAAAAAAUAUCCUACAAGAUGUCUUCAAUGCUAAUCAGCAAAUUAAUUUAUUCCUUGCAUGAAAAAUCCUACAUAUUUAUUCUUCUUAGAUUCUUUCUUUAUUUAAGCUCUACAAAAUUUGAAUGAGUUAUUUCUAAUUUUUGUUGUUCAUAUUUAAGAGCAAAGUCAGGUUCUUAUUAGGAUUUCCACUAUGAAAUUUUGUUGAGUUGUUGUCUGUAUAUUGUGUUUGUGCUGAAAACAUUAGUGUGUAAAUUCCAUAAAUUGUACUGCAAAAUGAUAACAAGUUAUUACACAAUAAAAUAAAUAAUACUUAAUUAUAAAAAAAAAUUACUUAAUUUUGAUGAGAUUUAUACUAUAGAGACUAAAUUAUUAAAAAGGAUUGGAGACUAACUAAAUUGUUAAUGAAAAUCUAUGUUGAUUGAAAAAAACAUCUUUUCGUUUUAUUUUCUUUCUUGAAAAACCAAUUUUUAAAUCCUUACAUGUCGAAAUGGAGAAAUUUAAACUUAGCUUAAUUAGUUUGAGUAAUAUGGUUGAAGACAGAUUUCGAGUUUAAAUUCUUCCACUUGAUUGUAUUUAAACACUUUUCAAAAUAAUCAUACAAAUAAUAUUAUGAUUAUUAUUAUGUUCGAACCUGAAAACAGUUUAAGUUACAUUAUUUAUUAUUAAAAAAACCAUGUUGCAUUCAAGUUAAAUGUUUAUUUAUUUGAUAAGUUACAAACUCAAACUCAACUAUUCUGUAUUAAAUUAAUUAACUAAUACUCAUUUAAUAAGUCUCUUGUUUUUUUUUUUUUUUCGCUUUUGUUUUAAAAAAUUAAACUUAUUUCUUUGGUACAAUAGUUGGCAUUUUUGUUUCGAAAUUAUGGCUAAUUUAAUUUCCAAAAAGACGUAAACAACUUUUGUUUUUAAAAACUACUUUACGUUAAGUACUAAAUUUUAAUUUGGUUUUUUAAAUAAUUAAUAUAACAUAGGUAAUAAAUAAAGAAAUUUGGAGAUGACAGUAAUAUUUAUAGCUUAAUUAUAAAAAAACUAAAGUCAAAAUCAAAAUAAUCUUCAAGCAAGAUUUUAAAAUUUUAAACUAAAGUACUUUUAAGUAAGAGCUAAGUCUGUGUAUUCAACUUAUUGUUUCAAAUUUAAAAAAUUGUCACAUACAACAAAACAAGUUGAUCAAUAAUUUAAAAAAUCUAUUUCGAGUAGGAUGUCCAAUAUAUUAACCAAACAAUAUUUUAAUGUCAGAUAAUUUGUAUGUGUUACAUUUUAACUUUAAUUAAAACAAUAUUUUUCUUCAUUUUAAAAACUAAAAUUUUUAAUUAAUUGAUAAUCAACACUUUUGUUUUCAAAAACCAAUAGAAACAAUCCUCUAAUAUUACUAUCUAAGAAGAUCUUUACUAUACACAUUGUGUUUUAACUUUCUCUAGCAUUUAUAUGAUUCAAAUAUUAAUGUGUGUUUGUCUUGAUAAAAGCAAACGUUAUUUAUGCAUUUCUAUUUUUUUAAAAAUAUUAAGUUAUUAAAAUUAAGAAACGCAAACCAUCAUCACAACUUAAAUUUCUAACUUAUAACCACAAAUCAACCAAUAUAUAUAGAGUAGAUCAAAGAAGAGAAAACACAAUACAAAAAUACACAUUCUUCAAAGUUUUUUCCUUUUUCUUUUCCCUUCUUACUAAUAAUUUGUUCUCUAAAUUAUUCAUAUCAACCAUGCCGGUCAACCUACAAAAUGGACUCCAAGCUGAAACCAUUUCCUCCACCAUAUCAAUACCAACGAUGGCUACUCGCUCAAUGCUCAAACCUCCCACCUCCAAUGGCGUUUACAAGCCUCACUCCAAAUCUCAAACCAUUACUACUAACAAUGGACCUCAAAUGGCUGACCCUUCUGUUGUCCUGUCCACGUUAGGCCACUACCUAGCCCGUCGUCUUGUUCAAAUCGGUAUCUCUGAUAUCUUUUCGGUUCCAGGAGACUCCAAUCUCAUACUUCUUGAUUACUUUGUGGCCGAAAAAGGGUUGAACCUUGUGGGGUGUUGCAGCGAGCUCAAUGCUGGGUAUGCGGCCGAUGGCUACGCCAGGCGUCGUGGCGUUGGAGCUUGUGCUGUGACCUUUACUGUUGGUGGGCUUAGUUUGAUCAACGCCAUUGCUGGUGCUUACUCUGAUGAUCUUCCUGUUGUUUGUAUUGUUGGUGGCCCCAACUCCAAUGAAUAUGGAAAUAACCAGACGAUUCUUCAUCAUACAAUUGGGUUGCCGGAUUUCAGUCAAGAACUUCAAUGCUUUCGAACUGUCACUUGCUAUCAGGUAGUAUCGUUAGAACGAAAAAGUAAAAACAGUAAAUUGGAGAUUGAUCCAUACGUUUAUUGCUACUAAUUAAUGUGACUUAACUAUGGUUUAUUGUUUUGUGUUUUGUUGUGUAUAAGGCAGUUAUCAAUAACUUGAAAGAUGCACAAUGGGAGAUAGAUUGUGCAAUUUCCAAGUGUUUGGAAGAAAGCAAGCCAGUUUAUAUUAGCAUUGCUUGCAAUUUGGCAGCAAUUCCUCAUCCUUCUUUCUCUAUGCAACAACUUAUUCCACUUUCCACCUCUCCCAAGUAAUUUCUAUUCUUAAAGUACUUCACAUUAUGUGUAAAUAAAAAACUCCAUAAUAUAUCAUCGGAGGGGAAUUGGGUUCCAAUGAAUUUGAAAAUUUUCAAAAAAAUUCACACAGGCAAAGCAACCAAACGAGUUUAGAGAUGGCAGUGGAAAAGGCAGCAGAACUUCUAAACGGCGCCGUCAAGCCAGUCUUAGUCGGCGGGAAGAAGCUGCGGGUCGCCAAAGCACAAGCCGCGUUCAUGGAGCUAGCCAACACUUGUGACUAUGCGGUGGCCGUCACGCCGUCAGCCAAAGGAAUGUUCCCGGAGAACCACCCACAUUUUAUCGGAACUUACUGGGGAGUUAUCAGCACUGCCUUCUGCAGCGAGACGGUAGAAAUAGCUGAUGGGUCAAUUUUCGCCGGAGCCAUAUUUGACGAAUUGGAAACCGUCGGCUUCUCUCUUUCCUACAAGAAAAACAAAGCCAUUAUUGUAGAAACGGAUCACGUGGUGUUUCCAAAUGGGCUUAGGUUUGGGCCGAUUUUAAUGAAGGACUUUCUUUGGGCCCUGACUAAACGGGUGAAGCCCAAUUCAACAUCGUAUGAAAAUUAUCGUCGGAUUUAUAUUCCGGAGUCAAGUCCUGCCACGUCAGAGCCGGGUGAAGGCUUACGAGUCAACGUUCUUUUCAAACAUAUUCAGAAAAUGUUGACCGAUGACAUGGCAGUAAUUUCUGAGGCCGGUGAUUCUUGGUUUCAUGGUCAAAAACUUAAAUUACCACAAUCAUGCGGGUAAAAUUCUAUAUUCAAAUGGCUCAUAACUUUAUAAUUACUUUGACUAUAAUAUAAUGUUUGAAGAAAUGUGUAGGUAUGAGAUGCAAAUGGUGUAUGCAUCUAUCGGAUGGUCUUUAGGUGCUACUCUUGGAUAUGCACAAGCUUCUUCAUCAAAUGGUCGUGUGGUUCUUUGCAUUGGUGACGGAAGCUUUCAAGUUAGUUUGAGUUUUAAUGUAUUUCAUUAUCCAAUUAAUUUUGUUAAAUAAAUUGAAUCAUAUUACGCUAAUUUUGCAGAUGGCUCCCCAAGAUUUGUCCACAAUGCUAAGAUUAGGUCAAAGGAACAUUAUAUUCUUGAUAAAUAAUGGUGGAUAUACCAUUGAAGUUGAGAUCCAUGAUGGCCCAUAUAAUAUCAUUAAGAAUUGGGACUACUGUGCUCUAGUUGAUGCCAUGCAUAAUCACAAUGGUAACUGUUGGACAAGGAAGGUAAAUUUUCAGUUGCUUUUCAUCAUUAUUUUAAUUGAAUAACCUUAUAGAUAUCAACUAUAGCUCACAUUCUUUACCUUACUUGUCAUUUUGAUCAAAUUUGAUUUUCAACGUAUACAGGUUCAAACAGAGGAACAAUUGGUGAAAGCGAUCGAAAUAGCAACAAGAGAUCAUAAUGAUUGUUUGUGCUUCAUAGAGGCUAUCGUUCAUAGAGAUGAUACAAGUAAAGAGUUACUUGAAUUUGGGAACAAACUUGCUGAAAUGAAUAGUCGUCCUCCAAAAUCUUUAUAGAAAGAAAGAAUAGAUGAAUUUUAUCUACUUUUAAUUCUCAAUAAUGUAUACUCAUGUUUUAAAGUUUUCUAAAGAAUAGAUUUUGUAUUUUGAGGAAAACUUUCAAAGUUAAAUUUUGGCUUCAAGAAAAAGUAGAGUUGUUUUAUUUGUUAAUUAAUAGAUAUCAUUCUUUAAUGAAUAAGGUUUAAAACGAUUGUUAUAAGAUAUAUAAUGGUAUUAAAGUUGAUUCAUUGUAAGUAACUCUCAUUUUAACAAAUAAAUUAAAAACGAACAUAGUAAAAUAUAUAUAUAUAUAUAUAUUAAAGGAUAAGUCAAGUGAGUAGUAAUUAUUAUGAGUAUAGUACAAAAAAUCAAUCUAAGUAAUUUAUAGUUUGUACUCACAACUCAGGGAAGAAUAACAGUUUAACCAAUCAAAAAACUAAAAUGGGAAUUGCACCAUAUUACAUAAACAAAAAAAAUCGCUCCUCGGUACCAUCCAGAGAGCCGAUUAACGAUAGAGAAAGGCUAAUAACCACAAAUUGAACUUGUUCGAAUGAAGAUACACUACAAAAAAAUUCUAUUUGAUUGCUAUCUUAUUCCUUUCUAAUUUGUACGUGAGUGUUAUCUGAUUGCAUGCUAUUAGGUACGUUGCGAUUUCUUUUCGUUUGUUAUUUGAUUUUUCAUGUUAUUUUCAUUAGAUAUCAGGUAACACCCUUACUACUUAGUGUUUAUAUUUUGUGAUUUCUAUUUGAUUGUUAUGUGAUUUUCAUUAAAUAUUUUGAAAGACAUUGUUAUAAUAUAUUUGAUUGUCAUAUUAUCGAUAACGUUUUUUGUGAUUUUUAUUAAAAACUACCAAUUAUGUGGAAAAAAAUAUAUAAGGUGAUUAUAUGAAAAUCAAAAGUCAAUUAGACGAAUGACUAAUUGACAAAAAUAAAACACUUUCAUACGGUAAUAAGAUGAAAACCAAAUGACUAUAAAAAAAAUUAUUUACUAUACUAAGAAUAAGAUAUGAUGAAUCCCCUUUUUAUUUUUUAGCUAGCAAAUGCGAAGGUAUGGUACUUUAAAAGCUUAAUUUUUCAAGUCAAACCUUGAGAACUGUGAUUCGUCAUUCGAUGUUAGCAAAAAAAAUAAAUUAAAAUCAUGUGAAGUUAAGGAAAUAAAUAAAUAUACAUAUGAUCGAUGUGAAAUACCAAUCAAACAACUACCAAUUAAUAUAUCAAAUCACAAUUAAACAUUUUAAAUAAUGAGAACUAAUUAUAGGGUAAUUAGAAGGCAAUAUAAAAUUACUAUAAUAAAAGAAAAAAUGUAAUCAAAUAAUCGUAGUCAGAAUAUAAUUAAAUAACUAUCUUAACAGGCUAACUAAACUUGAAAAGAAAAAAAAUAGAAGGCAGUUAGAAGGUAAUCAAAGGAUUAUUUAAAAAGGUUAACCAAAAUUAAAAAUAUAUAGAUGGUGAUCAAAUGCACAUAACUAUCUCGGUACUUUGUUGUUGUGAUUAGGCUUCCUGUAGUCAUUUUUCACAGCGGCAAUGAGAUGGUUGACAAUGUUAUAUACAUUACAAAAAUAGAUGGUAAUAAAAAAAAACUACUUAGUAAUUGGCUAAAAAAACGUAAGGUAAUUAUAUGACACUCGUAAUGCAAUAAAAAAAUGAAAAAUGGUCAAAAAUAGUAAAUUUGACAAAAUAUUUACAACAUAUAGCAAAAUUUCAUAUUCGAUCAAUAGUAAACUUUGAUAGACACUUAUAUGCUUCUAUCAGUAGCAUUGAUAGACAGUAAGUGUAUCAGUUUCUAUCAUUGAUAGAAUCCAAAAUUUUGUGUUAUAGCUUGUAAAUAUUUUAAUUUAUUUUAUUAUUUUAAAAAAUGGGCCAUAAAAAAAAUUUAGCAAUUGACAAAAAAAAAAAGGAAGAUAUGAUGAUAAUCAGAAACUACUUAAUAAUUGACAAAAGUUAAAAAGUAACGAGGCAAUUAUCAUAUUCUACUUAGUAAUUAUAUAAAAUAAUAAUAAUAAGGUCAUUAGAUAGCAAUUGGUAUAUAUCAUAUGCAAUUAAUAACAAUCAACAUUAAAUUAAAUAGCAAUGAGAUGGUAAAUGAGUAUCAUUAACAAUGAACAUCAAAUAACAAUCUAACAGUAGUCAAACAACUAAUAUCAUUGAUAAUUGGUGGUAAUCAAAUAAGAAUCCAAUAACAAUCAAAUGCAGUUAUGCAUUUUUUAAUUAUGAGGGCAUUUUAGUCAUCCAAUAGUUUCAAUUGCAUUUGGCUCGUCGAUUUGUGAUUCUUGCAAGUGCCUCCAGAGGGUUAUUUUUAAAAUUUGGAUGAGAUUCAAGAAAGAUAAUGUCCACGAUGAUCAACAAGGGUGAAAACAAGUAGAAUUGUAAAAAUUUAGAAACCAAAUAUGAGUAAGAAGUAAAGGUGGAAGAGAAUAAAAGAUUGAAUUAGUUAUUAUAGUUUGUAAAUUGUAAUGGUAUUUAUUUGAAUUGAAACUAUUUUGAAGUUUGUUGGGUGAUGUGUGAAUGAAUAAAAGUAUGUUAAAAAAAGGACUAGGUAAAUUGGUUGGAUUCAAAUUGGAUAUUAUUAGGAUAUAUGAAAGAAGAGAGAGUAGAAAGAAUGAAGAGAAAAGGAAAAGAGAAGUGAAGAAAGGGGAAGACAAGAAGGACUGAAUUUGUUGUGUUUUAUUGAAGUGAUUGUUCAUUGGGAGUGAUGAAAGGCAGGCAGUGGUAGCAACUGCUUCGGUGGGGCUCCCUCUUCCACUCUUCCACUCUUCCACUCUUCCACUCUCCCCCUCAACCUCUGCCGCCGCGCCAAUACACUCUCUUUCUACUCUUUCAUUUUAUCUAUCCCCAAUCUCAACAACACCUCACUUAACAAAAUAGGUAAUCAUUCUUUUUGUACAUCCCUUUUUACUACUUACAUGUAAAAAAUAUAUAUAUAUUAAAUAUUACUAAACAACAAACAUAAAUCUACUAUUUGUAUAUAAUUCGCAAUUUCAUAGAAUCUACAUAAAUAUAGAUCAUGUUCAAAAUGCCCUUACGUUCAAGUCUAUGUUUUAUUAUUUAAUUGCUAUCAUGUCUUUUUUUUUUAUAUAGCUUUUUGGUAUACUAAAUUCUUCUUUUCUCGUAAUUAUGGUGUUGCAAUCCAUUUUUUUUAGUUUAUCUUCACUUUCUAAGUACGUUUUGUUAUUGAGCUUUUCUUUAGUAUUCAAUUGUAUUUUUUAGUGAAAUUUCUAGUGUGGGUUAUAGUGAGAUUGCUAAGAAUGUAUCAACUUAAUCGAGAUAUUCCGAUACACAUACUAACUUCUUUGUCUUAUGUAUUUUGUUAAAGAAAAUGUAACCAACCAUUUGAAUUCCGACCUUAUUAAAAAAUUUAAUAACAAAAUGAAGUGUUUCUUUUUUCAUUUGUUCAUUUAAAGAGAAAAAAAUCAAAACUUUAUCCUAAAUUCUGUCAAUAUUAUUAAAAAGAAAAUAAGAAGAAAUAAAACAUUGUUACAUAUAAGUUAUCAUUCUUAAACUUAGUUAAGAAAACCAAAGGGUUAACUUGGUACUUAUUUAAUUUUUCUUUAGCUUUCCAAUUUCGGUAUUUACAUAUCCUAUUUUCUUCUCACUUUCUUGCUAUAGUUUGAAAGUUCGAGAAGUAAUUUACUAAUGAAAAAUAAAAUGUAAAUAUUUGAAUAUUUGUGUAUAGGCCAUAAAUGUAGGAAAGUGAGAUAGAGGGCAGAGGCCAAAUUGGUACCCAAAGGGAAUUAAUUAUAAUCAUAAAGGAAAGAAAGUCGUUUUCUUCUACUGUUUUUGCAUGUUUUACAUUUAUUGUUUUUCUGCUUACAAUUAAAAAAAUUUAAAAAAAAAAAUGAAGAAGAAGAGUAUAUAUUAAAUAAAUAAAAAGAAAAAAGUAGUAAAGUUUUUUUUGUAUAUGUUGUCAUGAUCAGGGGUUGUUCGUUUGGUACCUUAUCAUUUGUAGGGAAAUUCCAACCCCAACCUGUCACUUGUUGGGAAAAUUAUGCGAGAUUGUGACUUCUUCUUCUUCUUCUACUUUCUUCAUCCACAUCUCUCUCUCUUUCUCAAUCUAUCUCUCCAUAAUUUUCCAAUCAUAAUAAUAUAAUAUAUUGUCGUCUCCUCUUUUUCUCGUUUAAUUAUAUAUAAUGUGCAAUCCCAUCAUCGAUUAGGGUUUUUAUAGGUUUUAGGUUGAAUUAACUGUUCAUGUUUGUGUCUAAUUAUAGGUUUUAUGGAUUUUUUAUUUCUGUGUUUAAUACGUUUCUUUUAACACUAUUAACCACAACAAAAGCUCUCUUGGUUUAUCAUUCUCUGUUUACAAGAUCAUCAACUAGUAUUAUUAACCUUUUAAAGAAUAACCAUUGAAUUAUGUGUAAAUUAGAUAGUUUCGCUUGGUGAUAAUUAGAAAAGUGAAUGAUUCUAUAUAUGUCAUUGAAAUUUCAACGUAAUCAAAAGAUGAAUAAAAUAUAUACUAAUAACAACUAACUUUAAAAGCUUUGGAAAAAAAAACGAAAUUUAACUCGUUUUAAAAGGUUGAAAAGAAAUUUCCCUAUUAUUAAUUUAAAUAUAAUUCAUGCAAAAUAUGAUGGUAUUUAAAAAAAAAAAAAAAAGAUAUUUCUAUUUACAUUUUCACAAAACUAAGAGCUUGAUAUAUAUAUUAUCUAAAAAUCUUGAUUUCAGUGCCCCAAAUGUGAUUUUAACCUAAUUUAAAACUAGCAUGUGCAAUGAAAACAUCUUCAAGAACUUGCUUACUGAUUUAAUGUGGCUCAGUUUCACUAAUUGAGUUUUCUUUUAUUAUUAUCAUUCAACCCCUUACUUUGUAUAUCUAAUCCUUACUCAAGGUAAUACUUUAGGUGCAUCCCAAGUAGUACCUAAAUUAUGGACAUUGUAGAUUGUGUCAUGUAUCAAAUUUAUGGGUAGACAAUUUGGUAAAAGGUAAAAGAUAAAUGUGAAAUGAGUAUUUUUUGUAUGCCACUGUUGGCCAAAACCGUUAGCCAAAAAAAAUUGAAGAAUUCAUUAUAUAUAAAGCCAAUAGUUUGAAGGUUAGUGUAAAAGGUGUAAUAUGUAGUUGGGUAAUUGUUUGAAGAGGCAAAACUAGGCAAAUGUUAUUAUGUUAUUAGUGGUAGUGUGAGGUUCCUAGAAACAUAUAUUUAGCAGAAACGAAGAGAGUUUCUAUUUUAAGAAUUUUGGUUAAAUUGAAUGUUACAUAUACAAACAUAUUGGUCUCUAUCAAUCAAUAUAUUGAAGAAAAGUAUCCUAAUUUCGUGGACAUUAAAACGUCUUCGUGUCCCAAAACACCCAUUUAACAGACGUGCCCAAUCAAUAUAUUUAUGUCUUUCUUUAAUUUUUCCUUUUUUAUCUUUAUUUCUUAUUAUUAUUUUAUUCUUUACAAACAUUUUCAUAAAAGGACAUUAGAUUGAUUAAUUAAACAUCAAAAUCUAACUAAACAUUACCUACUGCACAUUUCUUUUUUGUUUUACAACAAACUAUAUACAAAACAAUAAUUUAAGAGUUCAAAAAUAAUAGUUAUAUCUAAAAUAUUUACCAAUAUAACAAAAUAUAUAGAUAUCAUUAAUAGUGUUCAAUGCAUAUAAAAGUCUAUAUAGUUAUAUAGGGUAUAUAUAAUUUUGUCAUUGGUGUUAAUAAGCUUUUAUCACUAAUAAAAUUAUAUUAAUGAUAGAUUUUUAUCUCUAUCAUCGAUACUCUGUCGUGAAUAGAUUUUGGACGCUUCAACAAUAUACGGACUCUAAUUAUAAGGGGUAUCAUUUUUUAUCUAUAUGACCUAUAUAUUUUUUAAUUUAAUAAAAAAUUUACUUGGUUUUGUAAAACCUUGUUUAAAAUUAAUGAAUAACAACAUAUAGAAAUUGAGAGAUGGAAUUAGAGAAGCAAGAUAGGACAAAUAAUUUAGAAAAACAAAAUAGGUAAAAAAAAAAGGGAAGCUUAAACUUUAUUAAUAAAAAAUUAGUAAAAUAGAAGAAAAAGAAAAUAAAAAGAUAGAAUUUGAAUCCCCACAUUCAUCUAAAUUUUUUUUUUAAAAAAAAAAGGUUGGGGGAAAGCAACACACUAUUUGAUAAAGAUUUUAUUCUCAAAAACUAAAUUCAAUCACCAUCUGUUUUUUCCUGUUAUUUUUUUCCCUUCACUUUUAAAAAAAAAAAUACUUUCCAAACCUUAAUCAAAUUCAAUUUGAAAUCAAAAGCAUAUUCAAAAAAGUAUAAUGUAAAACAAAAGGAUAUUAUCAAAAACAAAAUAAUAAUAAUAAAUAAAAAUAAAAAUAUCACAUCGUUGUCCACUGGACCCUCAGCUAACCAAAGUGAGAUUCAAUUUCAAGACUUCCUCCAUCUUUCUUCAAAAAAUAAAAGAAAAAAACUUAUAACUAAAUUGGUACUAUGAAAUCUCAACCAUUCAAAACAAAUCUUCACUAUUUCACAAAUUAACAUUACCAUUAAUCCACCGAGUCUUUAAAUGCAAGUUGCGCCCAAAGUCUUUAAUUUUGAUCAAAGAUAAGUCCUUCCGAGCAUUGAGAGACUCAACACCACUGUUCUUGAACAACUUCAAAUUGGGUUUCUGCUUCUCGCACUACCACAAUAUCACACACCUAUACACUAAAACAAAGUAUACCGUCAAUCAUCCCAGCUAUAGCUUAGUAAAUAAAGACACUAAUUACUAUAUCUCAAACAUCGAUGAUAGUAAUUGUAAACACCCAAAUAAAGAACAAAAAGAAAAAGUUGGGAUAUUGGUGAAAUUUUCUUACACAGAAGGUCUUAGAUUAGACUCCAAAUUUGUAGUGAUUAACGAUUAUAAUUAUAAUGAACAGUCUUAACCCCACUCUAAAUUUUUGCAAAAUACAUAGUAAUUAACAUAAUUAAGUACAGAUCACAAACCCAAAAAAAAAAAGAAAAAGAAAAAAAAAAAAACUAGAAGUUGAUGUAAGGAUCAUAAGAAGAGGAGAUGAAUUGAUCUUGAUGAUCAGAAGGAAAAUAAACAUUAUUAUUAUUAUUGGGAUCAAGCUGAGGCAAGAAAUUAGGCUCUUCCAUUUUAACCACGUCGUUUUGAGGGUAGAGAAGAUUAUUCAUGUUGUUAUACUCGCCGCUGGCAAUUUGUUCAAAAGGGAAACCGGAAUUGGCAGUAGCGGCUGCGGAGACGGCCGCGGAAGAAUUAGAAUCAUAAUCGACGAAAUUAAUCAUGGUUUGAUGAAGCCAAAUCUGGGUUUUCAAGAACUUGACAUAAUGAAUGGCUUCAUCAAGCAUUGAGACGGUGUCCAUUUUAGUGCCGCCGGGAACUAAGCUCUGCAAAAUCUUGAACCGGUCGCUGAUUCUAUGCCGCCGUUCUCUCGCCGCCACGCUUUGCGGGUCCGUCGAUAGCUUCACAACCCCUUUGCUCCUCUUCCCGGCUCCGCCGUGGUUGUUGUUGUUCUUUUUCAUCUUCUCUUUUCCACCGCCCCCGCCGCCGCCGGAGGAUGAACCACAUGAACUGGGGUUGCUCGCCGGAAAGUUGUAAUCCAUUAGAGAGAAACAAAGUGAGAUUCAAAUUUUGGGUACAUGGAAAUGAGGGGUAGGUUUUUAAUUUUAUUAUUUAUUUUUGUAUUAGAUCUUCUGUGUGUGUGUUUGUGUUUAUAUAUAUAUAAUGAAGAGAAAGAAAAGGAGAGAUGUCGUCAUGUGAGUCAGCCGAUCUCUGCCCUUGGAUACGGGUUGUUUAACCCUACAAAACCCUAGAUGGGAACCCCCUCUUUUUAAGAAAAAACCUUUACCAACUCGGUUAAAUAUUUACCUGUUUCAUCUUCUCCUAUUUGACUAUCUUUUCAUUAUCUUCAGAUUUUGGCAAAACCUCACACUUGUUUGAAACCCGGAUUUAAUUGUUAUAAUCUAUCAAUUAUAGUGGUCUGUGUUUUAGAUGCAUGAUCUUUUUAGUUUGUGUUGAAAAAUUACAAGGAAGUAAAUAAUGGUAGCAAAAUAGUUUUACGAUAGCUAUAAGUAUAGGUUAUAAUAAUACAAACCUUUUAACUAUAUAUAUUGAUGUAAAAGGUUUAAAUAUUGAGUGGAUUACCCAUCUAAGACUAGCAUUACAAAUCAAGAAAUGUCAAAAUGGUAAGACAAAUGGUUUCAUCCAAAACUAUCAAAAUUAACUAAAUGAGUUUAGUAUUACAAAUUAAACUCAAAAUACUAAAUCUAAACAUGAAAUUUGAAUUAUAUUACAUUAUAAAUGGAUGGUUUGAUUGAAAACUAUGAAAAUUAACUAAAUGAGUUUAGUAUUACAAAUUAAACUCAAAAUACUAAAUCUAAACGUGAAAUUUGAAUUAUAAUACAUUAUAAAUCGAUUCCAUCAUGAGUUGCUAACAAGCCUCUAAUGAUUGAUUGUUAUUGGGUUAGUUGACUACACAUUGAUAUAUUACAAUAACUAAAAAUUGCAAACUAGUUACUAUAUAAAUGGAAAAUAUGUCUGAUGAAAAUAGGUUAUGAUGUAACCAUUAUGAAUUGACCUAAUAAUUAAAAAAUAUGAGACGGUGCUCGUAAGGUGGUAAUAAAGAAUACUUACGAUCGGUUAUAGAAACAACGAUAGGGUAUGGAAUAUAAUAGGUGUACACUAAAAUGGUCAAUUUUGUCAUUCAGGCAUGGGAGUCUAUGUAUUACAAUUAUUUUUGUUUUAUGAAAAGAAUUACAAAUUUGAUUGGUGUCCUAAUUUUAUCUGAUGUAUGAGGUAAAGAUGUGGGUGUGACAUUUUCAGAUUAGAAUAUGAUAUAUGUUUCCAUUUCCAAGGUAGUUUUCUAAUGAUUUAUUUCUUUUCUUAUAUUGUACUACCUACUACGUAUAAUAUAAAAAUAAUUUUCACUUUUGGAUUUAUUUACUCACGACCACAUCCACCCUUUACUUUUCAAUCAAAAUGAUAUAAAAAUUUCAACUUUUUAUAGUCAAAUAGACAAGUUUAAAAAAAUGGAAAAUAAAAAGAAAAGGGUAAAGAACUUUGACCUUUCUCCUCGGAAUCUUAAGUAAAAAAUGCAAAAAAUUUACUAUUUAUUUCCUCACAAAAAUGAUCCUCUUAAAACGACUUGUCGCAUCCUAAAUUUUCUCGAAACUCACAUUACAAAUGUCAUAUACAAUAGUUACCCUUUUUAGUUCUUUCAAAAACCACACUUGUUAUCAUCUAUAAUAAUAUUAAUAAAUACAUUAACUCAAUUAUUAAACUCUAAUUAAUAUUGGUAUUGGAACCCUUGGACAUCUUAAAUAAUUGAACUUGAUAAUUGUUUUCUAUAUAUGCAUAUGAAGAUUUAUAUGAGAUAUCAAAUAUAUAUAUCCAUUAAACCCUAAUAUCGUUUUAAUCAAGAUUCUUAUACCAUUGAAUAACUAAAUUUAUCGUAAUCAACCAUUAACAUAAACGUUUAAGUUGAUUGGUAAUUUAACCUAAGUUGUUUUCCUCAACUUAGUUAGUUGAGAUGUUCCGAUGUACUAAUGGACCGAUCUCAUAUAUAUAUAUUUUUAAAAAAAAAUGAGUUGUUUUCAAAUAUAUAUAGUAAAAUAAACAAAAAUAUUUACCAAUAUAACAAAGUAUUACUAAAGGAUAUCGAUAAACUACCAUGAAUUAUAAUUGAUAAAGAAAGAAUAUGUUAGUAUUUGAAAAUAUGAAAGGUCAAAUCUGUAUUAUGAAUGGGUAGAUGGAAUGAAAUUGUUGUAGGUUAGGGAGGGGCGGGGGAGAGAUUGAGAAAUGAGUUUAGUUAAGAGAGGGGGGGUUUGUUUUGUUUUGUUUGGAUAUGUGUUGUUAUUUAGGAUUAGGUUUAAGGAGAGAAGAAAGAGCCCUAAAAGGGACCCCUAUCUAAAGAAAGAGAGGAACAGUGUCCUUUGUAGUCGGCAAAGAGAUUACUUUUAGUCACGUUUAAGGGUCAGAACAAAAUAAUUAAUUUUGAAAAGAAAAAUAAAUGAAUAAAUGAAUAAGAGAGGAAAAAAAGAAAGAGAGGGAGAGGAGAAAAUGGUGGGGUAUUAGGGUGAGGGGGGGGUCCUUGAAAGAAAGGGCAGGCUGCCUCCUCUGAAUUCAAAGUAGAUUUAUUGAUCGUAGUUUUGCCCUAAAUCCAAGCACCAAAUCCUUGCCGGACUUUAUCAAUUGUACUAUUUUCUAUAUUUCCAUUCUUUUUAAGUUUCUUUUUUUUUUUUUUUUUACUGUUUUUUUUUUUUUAAAUUAUAAAUUUGUUUGGAAAGAGAAGGAAAGUUGGAUUGGAAGAGAAUUAAACAGAAGAUUGUGUUUUUUAUGUUAUAGACAGUUGUGGGUUCCUUUGUUUUUCCCUUUGAUUUGACUGUCUCUUACUUUCUUUUUCUUUUUUCUUAUUAUUAUAUUUGAUUUUUCCUUAUAAUAUUAAAUUCAUUUUCUUUUCACAAUUUUCAAACCAACUCUAUUUUUAUGGAUUUUACCUAAUUUUAUGAUUUAAUUUUUAUUUCGUGUUCGACAUGCAUUUCAGCACUUCUCCGAUUUUCCAUAAUUGUGAUUUCAUUGUAACUCUUAAAAUACUUCCUUAAUCUUUAUAUAUUUAUACUCAUUAAAGUUAAAUAUAUUUAUAUAUAUAUAUAUAUAUAUAUUAUUUUUCUAUAAAUUUUGGCAAAGAAAGGAAGUUUAAUAGACUUCCUUCUCAAAAAAAUAUAUUCACUAAAUAGAAGUCUUUAAAUUUUACCAUUCAUCUACUUUUAAAUUUAUAACAAAUUGUUAUUGAAUUUCUUCUCCAUAGUUUUAACAUUUGACUUUUUUUAAUUAUUAUUAUUUAUUUUCAAUAUUGAAAAAACAAAAGGAAGUUUUUAUGGAAGGUAAUAAUUAUUUUUCUUUUUAAACUUUAGGUUUGAUUUUGAAAACAAUCAUAAAAUGUAAACAACAAAACAUAAAAACCAAUGGGAAAGUGAUGUUUAUUUAUAAAUAUCAAACCAUGGAGAAAGGUCAUACAAAAUGAAAUCUAAUUAUCAACUCCAAUUACAUAACCGAUUUUAAUAAUUGAUAAGGAGUAUAGGAGUAUAUAUCUUUUUUUAAUAUAAAGAUUAAAUUAUUGAAAGUUAGAAGGAAAAAACAGAAAGAAAAAAAAACUCGAUGAUUGCAAUUUACAAAUUUAGAGAAAAUGAGUAAAUGAAUGUAGAAGGAGGAAAGUGAUAUUUUGAAUUAGGUGAAAUUUAUGAUUAGAAACGAAAAAGAGGGAUUAAAAUUAAAACGUCUUAUCGGCUCUUCUUUUAAAGGGAAGGGAAUUUCAGGUUUUAAAGUUGAUGUUUCUUCUCAGUUUUUAUUUUUAUUUUUGGUUGAUUGGAUUUAAUUUCCAUAGAGAAAACACAAACAUAAAAUAUUACAUAUUGUGUUUGGUAUGAUUGAUUGUGUUAUUUACUUGCUUUCUCUAUACGUAAAAAGGUCAAAUCAAAUCUCUCUUCUCUGCAUAUUCUCUCUCCCUUUUUCUUUCUUUCUUUCUUUCUUUCUUUUAAAAAUACUUUUCUUUUCUUUUCCUUUCAAUUCAAUCUCACUUUUUCUUCUUUUACUUAUAAGUUGUUGAAAAUCAUAACUUUUAUCCUUCAUAAACUAAAAACAAAAACUUGACAAAGGAUAAAAUACAUCUUAAGGUUAUACUUUAUACUUCUUUAGGUUUAUAUACAUAUUAAAGAUAAAUCAUCAAAAUUGAUAAAGUUAUAAUGAAUUUCUUGCAAUUCCUAAAAAAAAAAACUUUUAAACUUUUAAUUUUGUAUCAAAUCUAUCUCUAAAGUUUAAAAAGUUUUAAAUAGACUAUUAUGUUGUUAAAUUUAUAUGUUUCAAUAACUUUCGUUAAAGUGUUUGAGUUCUUGAUUUUCUUUUGAGUACAAUGAGAUAUAUUAUAAUCCACUCAAUGCUUACACUUUGUUUAACAUUUUUGUCUUCCAUUUUAAUAGUUGAAGUUAUUAAUUAUUAUAACACAUUUUUAGUUACAAUAAUACUAGAGGUUUUUUUAAACAUAGAAAAAUCUAUAGACUAUUUACACACUUUAUUAAAAAGACCUAUUUUUUGUGAAGGGAAUAUUUUGUUGAUUUUAAAAAAAAAAAUUGGAUAAUUUCUCAUAAAAACUAUUUGAAAACUCUUCUCUCCUCGUCCAAAAUCCAAAUUAAAAUAAUUUACACUUUAAACAUAAAAUUAAUACAACUGACUAUAAUAACUAACUCAACGUUCAAAACAACUCGUAAAACAAUAUUAUAUUCAAUAGAUCCUUAACACAAAUUCAACUAUUUUAAAUGUUGAUAAAUUUAUUUUAUUGAACAUAAUGUUCUAAGUUUAUAGUUUCAUUAGAUACAAUAUUCAAACAUAUGUUCACAAUAAAUCAACUCAUUUUUUUUAAAUUCCUAACGUGUUAGAAAAAGUUGAAGAAUAUAUUAGACAUUUUCAAAGAGUUUAAUGACUAAAAGAUCACAAAUCUAUUACACAUUUCUUUAAAAGGAAUAUUAAAAAACCAAAUUUACAUAAAUUUCAAAGUUUAUUGACUAAUUAAACGUAUAAGUCAAUUUUUUUUUCAACUCAACCUAAAUUAAAUUAGCUAUUCAUUUUAUUGACACAAGGUGGAAUAAUCUAACAUUUAAUCUUAAAAUUGAUAAUACAUAUUUUGAUAUACUCAUAGAAUAAUAAAAUAGUAAAAUUAAAGUUUAGUGAGUAAAUAUUUAUUUAAACACAUUUUAAAAUGGAAGAACCUUUCAAACAUAAACAUUCAAAAAAGGUGAAGAAAAUAAAAUGAAAUAAUGAAAUAAAAAUGAUAUCCAAUCUCUCUCGAUCUGACUAAAUUAACAUCAAUUAGAAUACAACUAAUAACAAAUAAAUAAACUCAAUAAAAAAAAAGGAAAUUAACGUAGGAAUAAACCCUAAUUAAUUUAAAUUAAAAAUAAUAAUACGAGUGAGAAAAAAAAAGAAUAAUUUGAUUUAAAAGGAAAAAAGAAAAAUGGGAUGAACAGUGGAUGGUGAUGAUUAGCGGACCCCUCCAAUCUGAAAAAUAUAGGACGAUGGAUGGAUGGAUGGGUAUUUUUGGAAUUCAAAUAAACGUCGUUUUGGAAAAUGGAAAUAUAUUGCAAUUUCGUAAACCUCCCUCUUUCUCUUUCCCUUUUUGCCCUUCUCAUUAAUCUCCACACUUUUUUCAUUCUUUUAUUUCCCAUAUACACACAUACCUCUCUCUUACUCACAACUUCUUCUCUUUAUAUCUUUUCAUUUCCAAAAUUGUGUAUACUUUUUAUUUAUUCCUAUUUUCGAAAUACAAAAAAAUUCUCAAUUGUAUUUUGAGUUUUUUCUUUUUUUUCAUUUUUCAAUCUUAUUUCUUAACAAAAAAAAAUCAUCAAAUUGCAAGAUUAGAAAUGAUAUUACACGUGAAAAUGUACGCAAAGAUUACUCUAGCUAAUUAGAGAGCUAAAGAGAUGAAAACAAAAGGUAAAAAUGUUGUGAUUUUUAUUUUUUCUCCGCUAUAUACACAAUAGAAUUUUUAGUCAAAUUCAAAAACAAAUUUAAAAUUUAUUUUUUUAUUAGUUUUUAAAUUUUAGCUUAGGUUUUUAAUUAAGUCACUAGUAAACAGUAGAUAAGAAAUAAAAUAGAAGUUUUAAAAAUAAAAAACAAAGACUCAUUUGUUAACAAUUUCCAUUUAUAUGUUUUUUUAAAAUUUGUUUUCAAUUUUUUGUUUAUUAAAAACAAAAAUCAUUUAAAUUUGGUAAUUGAUUUAUAAACAAAAGACUUCUUUUUUAUUUUUCAUAUUUUCUGCAUAAUUAAAUUUUUUUAUUAUUUUCAAAAGAAAUAAAUUACUAACCAAGCAAGUACAUUUUUUAAAAACUAAAACUAAAAAACAAAAAACAGAAAACAUUAAAUUUUGUGUCCAAUAUGUGUUGGAAUAUUUAGUUUGUACUCAAUAAGCUAAGUCCAUACUUAUUAAAUUAAAAAAAAAAAAAAGUUGGAGUAAACAAUGUUCAAUUUAGAAUUAAAGUACGAAAUGAUGAAAUAGUUAAACAUUUAGGGACUGAAAUAAGUAAUUAAAAAAAAAAGAAAGAAAAAGAAAAAGAAAAAGGAAAAUGGGAGAAGGGAGAGGGGCCUGAUGAGAAAAAGGAAAAACAAAAGCACAUGGUAGUUUCCGGCAUUCGCGUUGGGGUUUGGUAGAAUCCUAAUUGUUUAAACCAAAAACUUACCGCCUUUCUUUACCUCAUCCCUUACCUUCUCUCUGCCCAUCCUUCCACUCUACUCUAUCUAUACUUCCCUCCUACAUACUUUCACACACACAAUAUAUUUUCCUAUCCAUUUCCUUGGACUAUGUAUCAACAUUACUUCAUUCCUUUCUUUUCUCCAACACAAAUUAUAAAUAACAAAAUCAAAAUACGUUAGUUAAAUUUUCUGCAAUAGUAUUUUUUACUAUAAUGAAACUCAUAAAUGUUUGUCUUCCACUUUUGUUUACCUUACAACACUAAAAUGCGAAUGAAAAAUGCUUGUUAUUUAAUAGAGUUUUUUAAUAACUCUUUUUUAUAAUCACUCUUAGGUGCAUACAUUUCUUGAAUUGGACAGACUUUAAACCUAGUUGUAUCACACGAUAUUUAAAGAUACAAUGUUCACAAUGCAGUGACAAAGUAGUAUAAGGAACUAAUUAAUGCGUGUACACAUAACACCUUUUGGGUUAUUAUUGUACCGGUAUAGCAUUCUUAUAUACAAGGUACAAAUUUAACAAAGACACCAAAAAUUCAUCUUUUAAAAUUUAGGAUACUAACAUGAUUCGAACAUGGUUUUUUUUUUUUUUCUUAUGUAAACACACAUGUAUCAUAUUUAAACAAGGGUUUCCAUGUGAGGUUGAGUUAGUUGGUUGGAUAGUUAGCACAUGAAAAUUACCGCAGGGAGAAAUGGUGGAUUUGAAAAAGGGGGAAUGGGAGAAUGGGAGAAUGGAGUAAAAAGAAAAAGAUUGGGCCUUGGGGUAUGAGGUAGUACAGUAUUGAGAGACAGAAGUAGAAGAAGUUGGUACAAAUUUGGAUUAGCCAAUUGAUUGAAUUAUUCAUAUUUGGGUCCCUCAAUAAAUAGUGUUUUCGAUGUGAACUUUGCUAAAAUACCCCUCAUCAUCACCAUCAUCACCUAAACUAAUUCUCUCUCUCAUAUAAAUAAAUAAAGAAAUCAUCUUUAUGUAUCAUUAAAUGUUAUUAUUAACAGUCGAGUCCUAUUUUCAUUGUUCAUUCACAUAUUUCCGUCCCCAACCGCCCUCUUCGUUUUUCGGUUAUUUAUUAACAAUCUAGUCCCUCCAAACUUUCCUUUUUCUUAUCAUUUCUCCCACUUUUACCCCCCCCUCCCUCUAUAUGUAUAUGUAUGAUAUGAUGUGUAUGUGAGUGUUUUAGCAUUUUUUUUAAAUCGUAUAUGUGCUGCUUGGAAACCUAUCUCAUUUUUUAUUUUCUGAUUUUUUAUAAUUUCUUUUCAAUUUCUUUACAUUAUUUUGCUUCUUGGAAGAAAUAUUUUAUUUAAAAUAUAACUCUAACCAUUUUUUUGGUUAGAGAAUUGUUGUAAAUUAACAAAAAUGGUGAUACAUUUAUUUUAUUAUAUUUAAAAAUUAUUGUUAUUAGAAAUUUUAUUCUUACAAUUAUCAAAUUUACAUUAAUAGAUUAAAUGUUUCCUAAUUAGAUUAUUAUUUCUUAAACAAUUUGAUGGAAAAAGUUUAAUCGGCAAACACACCACACUUAUAUGUUACCUAAUACAAUGAUCUUAUUAAUUAACAUAAUUUGUAUGGUGUAUGUUAAUUACUAAAAUUUAUUUUUAAAUAGUGAUAUAUUUGAGUGACAUAUUCAUAUCUAAAAAAUGCUAAUAAAACAAUUAACAUAGAUACAAAUACCACAUUAACUUUAUAACAUGGGCAAGUAGUUCUCUAUGCAAUAACUUGAUUGGAUUAUUUUUAAUUAAAUUAGAAGUAUGUUUGACAAUUACAAAAUAUUAAUUACUAAAUUGAAAAAAAAAUCCAUACAAAUAAGGGUAAAUGUGGUAUAUUGUGUUAUUUAUAUUAUAAUCAAAACCAUUACCAUUAUACCAACAUGAGCAUGACUUAAAUAGGUUUUUUUGGUUUUGAAAAAUAGUUUAAAAUUUGAUUAAUUAUAUAAAUUAUAGGUUUAUAAUCAAAAUAUUUAUAAAUAUAUAUAGUAAAAGUUUACUUCUAUUCUAGCGAUAGACUAAGUAGAGGAUUAUUUAUGUCACGGUAGAUUUGAAUAGUAAAUCAAUCUCAAUUUAUAAUUGAUAGAAUGAUAUUUUGUAAUUAUAAAUAAUUUAAACCAUGUUGUUGGUUGAGUACCGUACAAAUUAUUACAAACUUUGAAAAUUACAAUUUCUUCACACAAUAUUGGAGAUUGUGUUUGUUUGGGACAUCAUCAAACAUUUUGAAUGUUAAAGAAAGUGAACAUUUUGAAUUUUAAAGGAAGAUAUCAUUUUCUUAUGGGAAUAAAGACAUAUUAGAGUUGGGGGGACUGAGAAAAAAGGGCAUAUUAGAAAAGGCAGAAGUAUAAAAGACUAUAUUUGCAAAGCAUUCCCAAACUUGUGCUUUAGUGGGGCCAAUAGGAAGAUCAUCAUUGCGGCCCAAUAUAAGUUCAAAGCCCAUUUUGGACUUUUACCUAAAAAACGAAACGAACUAACAACAAACCUAAAUGCUAUCGAAGUGAACUUAACUCAAUAGUAAUUGUUAUAAUUUUUUUAUGAUUGAAUGUAAAUCUAUUAAAAUGAUAUAGAAUGCAUAUGAGGUGGGAGUCAUUUCUUAUGGCUUAGGUUAACCAUGAUUGUUCAAUAUUUUCUCUUACAACUUAAAAACUAAUUCCAGCUCUCGUUCUUACUUUGUCAACGAUAGAGUUGUGGUCGAGAAAAUUACACAUAUUGAAUUGUUCCAUCUCUUGUUGAUGACAAUCUAUGCUUAAAUAUAUAAUUUGAUGAUUAGAUUGUAAGUUGUAAGGCUUAGUUUUGUCCUUAUAAAGAGUAAUAGAGUAGAUCUAUUCUUUUUCUUAUUGGUUCAUCCAACCUAUGGAGCCAACAUAAGAUGAUGUCAUUUGCUUUUAAAUUUUCAUUUUCUCAAAAUAAUAAUAAAAAUAUAUGGAGAAUCCAAAUAUAAUGUUAAGAUUGAUUUAAUUUUUGAUCGAAAACAGUUUUUCAAAAACAAACUUCAAAUUUAUAACUAUGGUAUUGCAUAUUUUUUUAAAUUGAAGAAGGAUGUUGAAUAGUUUUUAUUGCGUCUAGAUUUUGGACCUAAAAUGUUGAAUUAAGUGAUGGAAAAAGUUCAAAAUUAUCAAUUUUUUAAAAAGAUUUCUUGACACAAUUUUGGGACGGAGAUUGAUGAUUUUAUUUUCAAAAUUUGAAUACUUGAGAGUGUAAUUUUAGAUUUUUAAAAAGAUAAAAAAAAGAUCAGUUAAAAUUUAGAAAGAUUGAAAAAAUAGUAGAAUGUGUUGUAAUGACGGAUAAAAUACAAAAGGCUUUAUAAGUUAGGAAGUUUUAGCAUUUGAGUGAAAUGUAUAUGUUGAGGGAGAAAAGAUGUGUGAAAAGGUUUUAGUUUUAGAAGAGAAGGAUGCUAUUUCGAACAAUUUUUGCUCAAAGUAUAAUAUCAGAAAGUGAAAAGGAAUGUAGAAAUAUCAUAAGAUUGUUAUGUUGUUAUGAUGUAUUAAUAAUAAUAAAAUGAGAUAGAAGUGGAGCAGAAGAUUCUGGAAUAGAUUUAUCUGGUGGGUCGAGACCGACUUAGAUGAGAAUCUGGAUAGAAAUAGAAGAGAGAUCCUAUUCCUAAUUGGAUUACAAUUCAUAACAAAUAUUAACGGACCAAAAAUUUCUACAAAUUUGUGGAACUAAACCACAUUUGGGUUGUCAUUAGUUUCCCAAGUCUAAAAAUCCCUUUUCCCAUCAUCCAAUUUCCUCUUAACUUGAGUUCAAAUUGCUUUCAACUUUCCCAAAUCUCUCUUUUGCUUGUCUUUGCGCUUUUAUCUGAUUCAAGGAUUUCACUGUUGAAAUCAAGAAUAUGACUGACAAGAAUCCGUAUCUGAAUGGAUCGCCCACUGUGCUGAACGAGAAGAACGACGAAACUGAGUGGGAGAUGAGGCCCUCUGGCAUGCUCGUUCAGAAGCGAGAAGAUGAUAAUGGCGCCGAUGUUUCUACCACCGGCCCCAUGAUCGCCGUCAGUGUUACUCACGGUUAUGGCCCUACUAAGUACAAGAUUUUCCUUCCUGCUCAAUCCACUUUUGGUACUCUCUUUCUAUACUGAUUUUCCUCUGAUCUUCAAUUGAAUAGCACUCGUUUUAAUUUAGGGCUUUGUUUUGCUCUAAUGAGUUUGAGGGAUUUGAUUUCUUGUAUUGAGUGUUUUUAGGGUUUUAGUUCUUUUGUGGGUGAAUUGAUUUGUUUUGAUUGAAACCAACUGAUUUACCGUGUUUUUCCUGUUGUGGAGGGAAGAUUUGAUAUGGGUUUUGUUUGAUUUGGCAUGGGUUUUUAGUUUUUUUCUUCUUAAGAGUUCGUGGAGUGGUCUGAUUUAAUGGACGAGUUUGAGUUUGGGGGGAGGGGGGCUAUGGCUUCAACAUAUAUGUUUGUUUGUAUGAAUACUGACUUUCUCGAUGUCUUCUUACAUUUGUCUGGAACUAGGAUUGGGAAGUUGGGAACUAACUUGUUUUGUUUGACAUUGUUGUUUUGUUCUGUUAUGAACUAACUUGUGGAUUGAUGGUAAAUGAACUUUCCCCAUUCAUGGUAUCUGGCACAUGCUGACUUGCGUACUUAUAAUGGAGUUUGGACUAGUUUCCACGUCGGUGAUUUUGCGUGUGUUGCUUCUUUUGCAGGCGAUAUGAAAAAGCAUCUUGUGGCAAUAACCGGUUUGCAGCUGGAAGAGCAGAGACUACUAUUUCGAGGUAAGGAGAAGGAUGAUGAUGAGCAUUUGCAUACCGCAGGGGUGAAGAAUUUGUCAAAAAUUUUACUCUUGGAGAACAAGACAAACAAGCAGAGGAAGGCGGUGGAAGAUGUUAAGGUGGUAGAAGAGGUUGGGAGUAGUGGUGAGGUUUCGAAGGCAUCAGCAGCCAUUGCUGAUGUUCGGUCUGAGGUUGAUAAGCUUGCAGACAGGGUAAAUUGCCCUUGCAGUUUUUCAAAAUACUUGAUUUUUCUCUGAUAAUGGGAUUCAAUACUGGUUUAUAUUUUGAGAGAUUGUUCAUUAUAUUGUUAUCUCUACAGGUUGCUGCCUUGCAAGUAGCUGUUAAUGGUGGCACAAAUGUUGAAGACAAAGAAUUCGUAGUAUCAACAGAGCUGCUGAUGAGACAACUGUUGAAGUUGGAUAGCAUUGAUGCUGAAGGAGAAGCAAAGUUGCAGAGAAAAGCUGAGGUUAGUGUUUUAACAUUGAUGGUGACACACAAUUAUACUGCUUUGUAUAUUGUGAGUAAGCUCUUGUAUACACAUUCAUCUGACAUCAAAUAAUCUCAUGUUGAGUAAAGAAAAACAAUUCUUAGAGGGAUUUGACAUCAUUAUGCUGAUAUUCAUAUCUGACCAACCAAUUUUUGUGUACGAGAGUAUAGUUCUUCAUCUUGUUUUAGCAAUUUAAGUUACUGGAUUUAGUUGUCUGAUAUCUUUUUUAAGGACGUCUGCGUUAGUGAUAUGUUCCAUAGGUUGUUCAAUUAUGGCCUUGAGUUUUUUAAGGCUAUGUUAUCGAUUGGAUACUACGACCUUUCACAUGAUAUUCUAGUGUUGCUUUUCAGUAUCUAUCUUUAGGGAGAAUUUUCACCGACCAAAAUUGAAUUGGCAACUUGGAGUCCUAAUAGUAAAUUUGUAGAUUUAAUAAAAAACUUGUUUGUUUAUCAUUGCUGCUGCUAAUAUGCGUGGUUAAAUGUUGUCUAAUCAAACAGCGGUCUUUUGUAUUUAUGAUUGAGCUUCGCUCGGUUAGGUCAGAUUCUAUUAAAAGCACAUUUUUUCCUUGCUAUCUGUUUUUAACUUUAAAGUGAUCUCUAACAUGUUCACACUUUUAAUAAGCUCAGAAUUCUACAAUUCCAAAGUUUCAUCAAUGCAUAUGAUAAUCCCCCAAAAGUUAUUUAGCAUCAAUUCUAAACAAAUAGCUUUGAACAGGUACGCCGCAUUCAGAACUUUGUGGACACACUCGAUGCAUUGAAGGCAAAAAUCUCUAAACCAAUCAGCAACAAUCACAACACGGUUUCAGUGACGACUGAAUGGGAGACCUUUGACUCAGGAGUCGGUAGCCUAACUCCCCCAUCCCCAGCUCCAUCUUCUACAAGAGUAACUCAGGAUUGGGAACGGUUUGAUUAGCUCACGAGUUUCAUUUAUUUAAACUCUACUAGUUAUUUAUCAGUCAAUCAUAAAUAACAUCAAACAUCCUCCCCCGACCCCAUCUUAGAUUAAUAAUUUUUUAAAUUAAUCAUACGGUCGUCAGCCCAUGAGCCUUGUAGGCAUGACAAAAGCUAUCAUAUCUUUAGAAAUUCAGUUAGUGUUUCAAUAUUAAGUUAUAUAUUUAAUGAAUGGAAACAGAUUUGAGCACAAUGAAAUGACUGGAAUUAUAUUCUGGAUUUUGUUUUGUUUAUCGCACUCUUUUACACAGAUUUGAAAUCUCAUAGCACAGGCAAAGAGACCAAAAACAUUGGCCCUGCUAUCAUGUACACAUUGUCCUGUUCUUUCCAUUAUUAAUUAAUUGGUUAUGAAUGCUUUUGAGAAAGAAGAUGGGUCCUUAUCCUUACAGUGACAAUUAGCCUCAGUCCCAUCAGGACACAACCCAUGGAAGUCGAAUGUUAAAUGUUUGUAAUAAAUUCCAUAACCACUGGACCCUUUACUGUGGAUGGGGCCAUUUUGAAACUGUUAGCAUAGUUUUAUAAGCAUUUAGUGUACUGUACCUUCUCUUCUGCUCCCUCAUUGGUCAUACCAAUGUUGGUCAUUACUGUGGAUUUGUUGUUCGUAUCCCACCACUUUCGGAGCUGCAUAUGUAUUCUUAUCUGACACACAAUUUACUGUCUUAUCUUUCUUGGGUUUUCUGUUCUUAUUUCGUUCUACAUAAUUUCAUCUAUUUUAGGAUAAUGUAAUGGGUUGGUAAUACAAUGUAAUCUAAAAUCUACGUUGAUUGCCAAAAGAGGUAAUGAAUCAUUGUCAAUGUUGGUCAUACAAUUGGCCUUGAUGUUUCUUUGUGGAUAUAGAUAGAGUUUGCAUAAGAAUGUCUGUUAGUGUUAGGUUGUUUCAUGGUAUAAACAAGGAGGUUUAUCACUCUAUUAGAGAUUCGUAAUGUCGUUCUACUCAACUUCCACAAAUUUAGAUAUGGUAUUAAAUCAAGAUCUACAUCACACCAAUAUGGACACCUUCUUAGGCAUCAACAAAAUGAAGAUAGAAAAUAAUGGGUUCACAUUUCACAUGACUUUAGCAAUUGAGUUAAUUGGGUACAAUUGUAUUUUGUAACCUAUCUUUACCUUGUAGAUUCAAAGGCUGCUCAUUAAUUUAAAUGGAAGAAUCUUUCAAUUUAAAACAAUCAAGCUACAAUUUAAGUUUAAUUUGAUUUUAGUUUUUAUGCUUUUAAAUAUGAACAUGUCUAUACAUCCAAUUAACCGAGUUGUCUUGGUAGUUAAAUUUCACACACAAAAACUUUUCUCCCAAUAGUAUUUAAGGUUACCAAUUUUGUAUUUCUGUCACAAUUUGUUUAACAUAGGAGUAAAGUGAGAAAGGCUCACUUAGCUAAACCAAAAUAAAGUGGUUAUAUGUGUUGGACGCUUCUGCCAUUCUAAAUCAGUUUAUAACUCCCAAAGCUACCUCAAAUGUUACAUGAAAACAAUACAAAACUAAAUAUAAGUAGUUCUUCACCAUUUAAAGAAAAAAAAAUAUUGUAUCUUAUUUAAAAGAAAUCUACACGAGUGUUCAAACAAACCAAAUAAUUCUAAAAACAUUUGAGUUGGGUAUAAACCCGUUACAUUGGACUUAGGUUUAAAUAAAUGAAAAUCUUAUAGGUUAAAUUGGUUCUUGAUUUCAUUUAAAAUAACCUAAAUCACUACUUAUGCUUCUUAAAGAGGUUAUGGGGUUCAAUUAACGGUAGUCACUUACUGAAAAUGCUAUGCAACCAGAAUGUUGUAAGUUAGACGAUGUGUGGUCUGAUCAAUCACACAAAUGGCCUAAACAUUCAACGAAUAAAAUGAUAGUCAUUCGAAAGUAAUUAUAAAGAAAACCAAUAAAUAAAAUAAUUAGUUGCACUACAUAUUUAUAUAUUUAAAAGUUUAACCUUGAAAAGAUUUGUCCGUCUAGCUCAGGUGGGAGAGUAUAAGGCUCCUAACCUUCUAGUCGUGGGUCGAGUAAUUAUCAAACUUGAUUCCUUUAUUUAUUUCAUAGUUGAAUAUGAAUAUGAUUUGCCAUAGCCUAGAUUGGUUUGUUAGCUUAUAUGUAUUUUUACUUUCCAAAAAAUUCAAUCAACAACUUACUUCCAUAUGGGAAGAGAAAAGAAAACUAAAGCAAUCGUAAUCCUAAAUCUGGUGGUUUCCUCCCAGAAAAUAGUUGAAGAAGAAGUCUAACAAGACUAUGUGUCCACCAGGAUCUAACACUGAGUGAAUGUGAAGACUAUGAACAUUUCAGCUUAAUGUACAAAUGUUUUAAAGAAACAAAACAUACACCAUCUCAUACACCUCAUCAUAUGAAGUCGUUGAUUAUCUACGCUCGUAUAAAUACUAUGUCACUUGACCUAUAUGGUAAUCUUUGGGAAGAAUUAUAUAUAUAUAUAUAUUUCAACUUCUAACAUCAUGCAGUUAACCACGAACAAAUGUUCAAUCACAUGAAACCUAAAAGAAUCCUAUAACAUACAUUCAAAUUGAAGCAUGGGGUAGUGAUUAAUUUAACUAUAAAUAAAUUAGCUCUUCCUGCAUUCUAGAGACACACAUCACAUAGUUUAAUCAAUCCAUAAUUAAAAAACUUCAAAUACAUAAAUUUAAUUUAUAUAAUUUAGUCAUGUGUGUUUAAUUAAUUUUAUUCUUUUGUCUCAACAAAAACAGGUAGGUAUAUGCAUGCAUUGAGAUAUAUACCAUAGAAUAUGAAAAUCCGAGUGUACUUAUCAAAGUUUUUUUUCUCAAUUAUUAUUUUUCUUUUCAUUUUUGUUUGUUGUAAUUUAACUAAUAGCGUAAAAGUAGUUUAAAAAAGAUAACAAAGUAAGAAAUCGAUUCAUGGUUUUAUGAUCAAUAAAUUCUUCUACGUUUUUUAAUAUAGAAAAUUAAUUAAAAACAAACCUAAAAAAACUGAUUUCUUUUUUUCUCUUUCUUAUAUACUCAUCUUCAAAUAUUCUCAAAUUAUAUAUUAUAGGUUAAAUUAUAAGUUUGCGCAUGAAAAUAACUACUCUUAUCGAGUACGUAUACUUAAAUUAUUAACUUUUUGUUCCAUAAAUCUUAAAUUUUAAAUUUUUUCAGGCUCUUGACAUCUUAAAACAAGGCACUCAUCUAAUGGUCACAAAAUUGAAAACUUAAAUCUCAUACCACAAUGAGUUUAAGUUUAAGGUGAUUAAAAGAAAUUAUAAGCUUAGGUCUUCUUUGACAUAUGUUCUAAAGAAAAUUAGCUACACAAGUUCAAGGGGAUUUGGUUGAUACUUUUCAAAUUUAGAAACUUUUUGACUCAUUUUGUUUACUCCAAAGAUCAAUAGACAUAGUAUAUGGGGGAAAAAAUUGCUUAAAUUGGGUAUGGUUAAGUACUGACAAGAAAAAAAUUAUCAUACUGCUAGGGAAGAAAAAAAAACCAUACAACAAAUAUAUAUAUAUAUAUAUAUAUCAUGUUUGAAUUCUAAUAUACAUUUGAAGAAAAAAAGUAAUGUUACACAUGUGCACACUUAUAAGCUACAAGUGGAAAAUAAGUACCUCAGUAUCUCACUUAGAAUUUUGGUCUCUCAAGAAUGAUUCAUAUAGUCAGAUCCAGAGUACUUACUCUCUCUCGCUAGGCGGCAUAGUCAUUAUCAACAUUAACGAACCAGAUUCCAUCGAGCUAAUUUAGCAUUUGAACGUGCUCAACUGAGAGUAGUACCAAAUUGAACAACCCACUUGAGAAGUUCCUCGUGUUGCAGUUGCAUCCUUUUGAAGGGUACUUCAUCUCUAUUGCUAAUUUCUCGCUCUUUUUCCUCUUCCAUUGCCGACUAAGGAGACAUUGAAUUAAUAAUAUGAGCAUAAAGAUAGAGAUAAAUCAGUUCUACUUUCUAAAACUUCUUCAUCUUGAUCUAUACUUCUCUUUUCAAUCUUGAUCUCUUCCCUUGGUGCAAUCUUUAGGGAUAAACUCAAAUCAAUUUCUCCAUUAUCUGUGGCCCUUUUUCUUUUCUGUGGAAUAAUUUCACUGCAUGAAUCUUCUUUUUCCCUCUCAUCUUGCCUUUUGCUCGUCGUGGUAUUGGAUUCACUGAUCGACAUGCGAAGAUUACGGUUGAUCAUUUCCGGUGCAUUGCUCUUGUUGCUGCUGAACAGGCUCGAUCUUGCUUGAGUCAAUGUAGUCAUUGAGGCUGACUUCUCCAUAAAUGGGGAUUGUAUUGUUUUGUUUUCGAUAGCCUUCCACGAUGACCCUCCGAAUCUGACAAGAGAAGUCGAAUGAGUUUGGAAUGAUUUUCGAAAAAAUAUUAUAUUAUUACUUUGAUUACUAAACCUAAUUUCAAUAGAAUAAUUGAAAAGAAAACACUAAUUAGAUCAAUUCCUUACCGAAAAAGAUUAGAGGGGUAACUUGAAUUAUAUCGUUGGAACAUUGGGAUUUGGCUGACAUUAAAUAUGUUGCGAUCUCCAUUAUUACUUUCAGCCAUAAGAACCCUUUGAUCUCCCACAACUGUCAGAAUUUUCAUUACAAGUUAUAGAAAAAAAUGAAAUAUAUUAGGAAUAAAUGUAGAAAUUAAACUUAAUAAAUAGUUUAUACCUUGACCUGGCUCAUUCGUCUUCUUGCUUCUAUACAUCUGAAAGAAAUGAAAGAAAAAAAUAAAAUUAGAAAUUGAAACUGAAAUUUGACAUCUAAAUUAAGCACUAAAAUUUUUGUUUAGUUUUUCAUAUUUUUUUUAUAAAAAAAAGCCCAAAUUAUGCAAUAAAAUUUCUGGAAAAGAGAGAGAGAUUAUUAAACCUGAAGAUGGCUUUUGACAUGGGCAAUACUUAGUCCUUUGAUGUUCAUUAACUGAAGUACCAACUUAGGAGUAGCAUCUAUAUACACACAGACAAAAAUCAUUAAACCAUAAGAUUUUCUAAAAACAAAAUAUAAAACAUGAUAGAAAAUCACUAACAAUCUAUCUAAUAGAUAUAGUCAAAAUUCCAACAAUUCACUCCAAGAAAAAGAGAUUUUGAUAAAAAUCUACAUAACCCUAUCAACAAAUUAACUCAAGGAUCUCCCCAAAAAAAACCCAAUAAUUAUCCAUACUCUAAUACUAGAUUAAAUUACGACCACCCUUAAAGCCACUCGAUCAAAAACACAUUAAUAACCUUCUCAAAAAAAAAAAAAAAAAACCCUCACCCCAAAGGUAGAUUAAAUUUAAAGGGUACUAGGUUAAAUCAUUCGAGAAAAUCUCAAUAUAGACAAAAAGCAUGAAUUACUAUUUCAAACAAUUCAAUCCUCCCCUUCCAAUUAUUAAACCAAUAAUUCAUAAAAUCAGGAGACAAAAGCAAAGAGGUGGGAAAAGGAAAACUAAAAGGAGCACAACUCGACGAUAAUUAAUAUAAGUUUCGACCCCAGAGGUCAGAAAGAAGAAGAAGAAGUUAUGGAAAUUACUUUCUUGACCCCCAAGUCUUUCGACAGCAUGAACGAAACGGAGGUGAAGAUCGGGAGUCCAACGGAGUCUCGGGAGUUUAGAUCUGACAUAAGGUCUGACAGUGGGAGGCUUGGUCUUGUGUUGAUCAUGAUCAUUAUUAUUAUUCUCUUCUAUGGUGCUGUUGCUCGAACUUCCUUCAUUUCCAAAUUCAGUACUACUGCUGCUAUUUUCUGAUUUCUUAUUACUAUUAUCAUCAACAUCACUUGAUCUUGUGUUUGAACAUUCUCCUACUACUUCCAUAAUUUGCUAACUUUCUAUAUGCACAAAACCAGAGAGAGAGAGAGAUUUAAAGUUUGGAAUGAUUAGAAGAAGAAGAAGAGAAUGAAUAAGCUGAGAGAGAGAGAGAUUGGAUCUAUUAUUACCCCACUUGGAAAGGAAACUCUCUUUCUCUCUCUAACAUGAGGAGAGAGAAACCCUAGCUUGUUUGAGACAGACAGAUCUUCAUGGAGAAGACACAAGACUCGUGUUUCUCUCUAGAUAUGUUCCCAAAAACCAAAUGAAACUUCACUUUUAUAUCUCCAAAAAUUUAUUUGGAGAGUGUUAUAAUGUGGCUGACAGUUUUAUAUUAUUAUUAUUUUAUACCAUGAAUCUAAGAUAAUUUGGAAAGACUGUUAUAAUGUGACUGACAGUUUUAUAUUUUCGUUGUUGUUUUCUACCAUGAAUCGAACACUUUAGAAGUGUAAUCUUUAGUGAGAUUGAGUUUAUUCAUUGUUUGUUUGGAUUAACUUUUGAAAAGCUAUUAUUAUUAUUAUGUAACUAUAAUAAAUUAAAAUGUGUUUCCUAAGUUUGGAAUGAUUUUAGAUGAGUAAUAUAGAGUUUCUUUUUAAUAAAAUAUUAAGGAACAGUGACUUAAAGUAUUGACAAUAUUAUAUAUGAUGCAAACAAGGUAUAGGGUUUUGUAAAUAAACAAAAUUGUUUUUCUAACUAGUUAGUGAUAGACUAUAUUAUUAGUUAGUGAUAGACUAUGUUAUUAAUAGAAGUCUAAUUUUAUUAUAUUUUUAAUUAUUUAGAAAUAUUGGUAUAUAAUUAUUAUUAAUUAAAUCUAAAAGAAUUACGAUUGCAAUUAUUCUAAAAUCAUAAUAAAUAAAGGACUAAAAAAUUGAAUUGAUUCUAUUUUAAACGUAUUUUCAAAUCAACGUGGAUAAAUUUUAAAAAGAAAAAAGAUUUUAAAGGUGAUUAAUAAAAUUACUUUUAAAUAUAGUGAAAAAAAUUAUUUUGGAGCACUUUUUGGAAACUAUAUGAUAUAAAUUUAAUUUUAUUGAAAAAAUGAUUAAAGGAGGAAUUUAAAUUAGGGCAUAAUAACUAAGCAUGUACAUGCAUGUACCACACACAUCAUCAUAUUAUAUAAAUAUAUAUAUAUAGUAUAUAUGGGCAUUCCCUGUGGCUCAUGUGAAUCCACCAAUAUUUUAUACUUUUCAAGUUGAAAUUCUAAUUUGAAAAAUCAUCCAUACAUAUUAAAAUAUAAUUUAUGUUUUAUGUUAGAAUAAUUCCAAAGCAUCUCUGUUUUAAUUAACUUAUUCUAUCAUGAUCAAUAAUAAUAAUAAACAAAUAAAUAAAAAAACAACCCUCACAGUAGAUUUGUCCUUUUUUAUGUGUCCAAAUAUAUAAAAAAACAAUUAAAGUAAUGUUUUCCCAUACCCAGUAUACCAUAAAAUUAAAUAAAUAUCCCAAAAACUAGAUUUGAAAAUAAUUUCUCACUGUUAAAUUUUUUUUUCAAUGCAAUAUUUUUUUAAUUAAAUAUAAAAGUACCUUUUCAACAUCAUCCCAACAGAAAGAAGAAAAAAGAAAAUCCCUAGUAGUACUUUUGCAUGGCAUGUAUUCUUUUAGGUAAAAUAGCUUAAUAAAUUUUAUUUUACAAAUUAUUUCAUUUUUUUCACACUUAUUAAAUCUAAAACUAAAUAAACUAAAAAAAGAAAAAGCCCAUAAGUUACCAUUAUCUUUAAUUAUUAAAAGGAUAAUUUAACCAGAACCCAAUAUAAAUUAAGGCAUCUUGACAUUAAAAUAUCAAAUAGGUUUAAAGCCUCUACUUAACAGAAGGUUUAAAUCUCUAUCUUAGUUUAGUUUGUAUAUGGUUUGUAAUUAAAAGAAGAUAAAUAAGAAUUAACUAAUAAAAACCUUUGAGAUAGAGAGAGAAGAUGGCCCUUAAGUUUAUGCAUUUUAAUUACAUACAUGGGAAAAUGUGAGAAAUUUGGACAAAACUAUCAAUAAUUUUAUGAAAAGAAUUUUGGCAUGGAUGUCCUUCACAUUAAUUAGUGUAUAUUUCCAUUGAUUCUAUUGAUUAAUAAAAAAACAAAUUUGUAAGCAUAUUUUCCCAUAAAAAUUAUAUAUAAAUAAUGGAUGAAAACGAUAUUAAAUAUACUUCUUAAACUAUGAUAUAAAUAUAUGAUCCCUAUUCCCUAAUGAUAUAUAUAUAUAUAUAUAUAUAUAAUAACGAGAAGCAUUUAUGGAGAAAAUUAAAAGGUUAACUAAAGGUUGUGAAAAGAAUCACGGGUUUUCUCUCUCUAUCUCUCCAGAGAUAGAGACUGAUAAAAAGAGAAAAACGUAUAUAUAUUUGACUAAAAUUACUAAUCCUAUGAAUCAUGACUAUUAUUCUUGUGGAUGGGUAAUCCCCAACUUUAAAUUCUAUUUUAGUUUGUAUACUUAAUUAGAUCCCUAUUUUUCUUUCUACACUCUUUACACACGAUUACGUAAUUAUCAUGACGUAGAUUUAGUUUAUGUGAAAUAAAAGUUUGUUGUUCAUUCCUAAAUAGAUGAUUGUCUUUCUACUUGAAUUGAAUUUAAUGAAAUAAGAACGUCAUAUAUUAGAAGCUCUAAUAAAAAUUGAAGUAGAAGAAAUAUGGAAUGUAGUACUUUGUAUUAUUUUUCAAUAUAAUUCUGAAGAACUAUACAGACUAUUUGAUUUAUAAGCGGAUGAUUACGUAGAAUUAUAAAAGAUCUAUAGGAGAAAAUUAUGAAAAAGAUUAUAAUAAAUUAGUGCUAUAUAACGUAAAGAUAUUUGAUUAGUUCCUAAUAAACUGACAACCUCUAACUCGUUAUAGCACAUGUUAAAUGAACUUUUAAGAAUUUUGUUUUUAUCUGACUAAAAUUGGGAUUUGAUUCAAAAAAUAAUGAACUUAAAUAAGCACUAUCUUAAAAAGGUAUGUUUAGAAAAUUCUACCUAAAAAAAAGUAGUUUGUAACGUUUAAAAGAUACAUAAACGUUAACGAUCAUGAGGUUCUCAUCUCAAGCGACCAAUUCAUGAUGAUGAAAAGAGUAACUUAUGCGUAUAUAUAUACUUAAAAAUUAUAAGGUCUUUUCAUCUUUUCAAUGUUUGAGGAUAUCCUCGAUAUUAUAUUUCACCCUCAAGAAGAUGUUUCUUUGAAUUCACAAUUCUUUGAUCUAUCUCCCAUUUAAGCUCUAAAUUCACAAUUCACAAUUCAAAUUAGAUAAAGUGCACUAGGUUCUGUCUCAUAUCCAACCAAAAAUAUAAAAAAGUAACCUUAUGUAUUUUACACAAAGAUUAUUGUGUAGAAUUGAUCCUUGACUUUUUAUCCAUUGAGUUAUAUAUGCUCAUGUUAGAACGCUGUAAAUCCGUUAUUUGACACUCUUAGGAACCAAUAAUGGAGUCUUGUUGAUUCAUAUUUAUGUUAUUUACAAUUUUAAUCUUAAAGUUUAGAAAAGUGUUCAACAUCUCUAUUUUCUAUCUAAUAACUAACUACUCUCUUUCUCUACCUUGGAGACGUAGAUAACACAUAUUUAUGAAUCACGCAGAUGUUUGUGUCUCGCCAAUUUUGUAAAAGGCCCAAAUAAGCAAGAUAUUAUAGUAUUAGGAUUUUGCAACCACAUGUUUUUUAAAAAAGUGAGUGUGUUGGUUAUUGUUACGUGGAGGGUGCUUCCGGUUUUCUUCAGCUCUUUACAUAAAACAUAAGGGAAAAGGGAAUGAAAAGGUAAGACGUAGGGUGUGAUUUAGAAUGGGUUGGGAUAUAGAAAAAGGUUAUAUAUACUUUUUGUUAUGAAAGGGGUUUUGACAAAAGAAUGGGAAAGAAAAGUUUGGGUUUGGUAUUUUCAUUCCUUCCACGUGCAUUGUUGGCUUCAUGGUUGGGAAAAGGUAUUAUAAUUUUGAGCCCUUCAUUUUGCUUUGCUUUCAUGUGUAGAGCUUAGCUAGCAGCUUUGAUACACCCAUUUUUCUUUAAGCCUUUAAUUCACGGAACUCUUGAGAGCCAUUGAACCUUAUUUUCUUUUGUUGUUGAUAGGAUUGUAGUUGAGAGUAAUUAAUAUUACUUCUGCGCAUGCGUAUGCAAUAAUAUACUUUUUAAUUUCUUAAUUUCUGUUUUUUCAAUCUAUGUUUCAUCUAGUUUUCUCUUUUGGGUGUAUAUAUAUACAGCAUGUUUGUCUUCUAAAAGAGACAACAAGGCUAAGUUUAUAUUUCCAUUAAAUACAUCGAAAAACCUAAAUAUACAAAACAAGUUGUUACAAAAGAAAAAAAAUCUUGAUAGAGCAAAACUUAACUCCCACCUGCCUAAUCUUGCUAUAACCAUGGCUAGUGUUAUGAAUUUGAAAAUUAAAGAAUUUUGAGAAAACAUCAACUAGAUUUACAUAGUUUUUAUCCUCAAAUUUCCUCUCAUUUAGAUGCUAUAUUUGUGCCUUUAUGUCUAUCUCUCUUAAGCUCAAACAUUACAAUAUAAUUUAAUUUAUUUCUAAGUUAUAUACAACAUGGUGUAUGUGUUAUAUUAAUUAAAUACUUUAGAUGCAUUACUAUUGUUUAUAAUCAUGCACAAUAACUUUGCUCCGUGGGCAUCUCUAUAUAAUUAGUCAAGAGUUUUACCUUAGAGCUCUCUCUAUUGUCACACAAGUAGAGACUACUACUAACUCAAGAAUCUAUCUAAAAUUCUUUCUAUAUAAAGCUCUAUCAAAUAUAUAUUUUUCUAUAUAAAAAAAGUGACAAGAUAUUAUAUUUACUAGAGUACCAAACAAUUGUUAACGUUCAUGAACAUUAUUUUUCCAAACAACAAUGUGGUUUCCGAGAUCAAAUUACUACAUCCCACCUCUAUUAUAUAUUUUACCUUUUGAAUCAAAUUUAAUAACAGAACCCAAAAAGAUAAGAUUUGUAAAUUCACCAACUUUCAAAAACGUUUGAUUAUAUAUUUUUCUAAACAUAUACAAGCAAUAGGCUUCUUCCAUAGAUAUAAGUUAAAUUUAUAAUAUAAUUCUUGAGAAAAUAUAUUUACUUUUCAUUCUAAAGUUUUGAGUUUUAGUUUGUUUUAAUUUAAUUGAUCCUUAAGUUUAUUCAAUAACUAUAUUUGGUUUUAGUUUUUGAGUUUCUUAAAAAUAUUAGUUAUUAUUUAUUUACAAAUUUAAGCUUUUAAGUGAAUUGAUGAUUUAAAAUGAUAUGAAAACAAGUGUCCAAAAAAAUCAUAAUUUUUUCAUCAUUUAAUAUUGAUUUUAAUUUAUUGAGUACUAAUUCAAAAGCAUAAGUGAGAUGUAACAAAUGUUGUUUCAAAAUUUAAAAUUAAUAUUUAAAUACUAAAUUGAAAUACAAGGAAAAUUGUAAUAUGUUAUAGUGACGAAUAGGGACGAAUAGAACAAAUAACUUUUAUGUAUAAUAAAUAUGAAACAAUUACCAACUUUAACGAGUAGGUAUAUACAUAUAGUCCAUCCAUGUGUCUAAUUUUCUCUAAAGCUCUCUCUUACGGAUUCCCCCAAAUAUCCUUAAAUAUUAUUAAUUAGAAUUCUUAAAUCACUAAAUAAAAGAAGACAAGAAGAGAAGUUCCAUGAUGAGUUCCCACAUGUUGAAGAUCAAAAUCCCAUAGGAAAAAUCGACAAAAUAAUAAUAAUAACAAUAAUAAUAAUAAUAAUAAUAAUAAUAAUAAUAAUAAUAAUAAUAAUAAUAAUAAUAAUAAUAAUAAUAAUAAUAAUAAUAAUAAUGACAAAUAAAAAUAAAAAUAAAAAAAGAUAGAGACAAAGUUUUUAGUCAGAAAGAUUCACUCACUCCCGAUGCCUUAUCCUGUUAGGUCAACGCUAAACAGUGUCUUUGUCUUCUUUUUUUCUCUUUUUCUUUUAUUCUUUUAUUUAAACAAUUACUAAUUUUUCAUAUAUUUUUUUUCUUUCUAUUUUACAAUUAUUAUUAUACAAUUUUAAAAUUUUGCAUGAGAAUGCGAAUACCCUAUUUAUGCGGAUCUAACCCAUAGAAUGAGUAUGUCUGUCCUUUUCCCUCCUUAAUCUAUAUAUUAUUGUUGCUCUUACUCUUACUCUUACUCUUACUCUUACUCAUCUUAUUAUUCUUACUUAUUACUCUCAUUUGUUAUUAUUACUUUAUUAUUAUUAUUAUUAUUAUUAUUAUUAUUAUAUGCACCAUGAAUGUGCACAUGCAUCAUACAUAUCCAACAUAUCAUACCAUGUUUCUAAUUCUCUCUCUAUUUACAUAUUUAUAUAUUAUAUUGGUAGGUGGGUGGUAUUUCUAUCAAUAAUAUUUUAUUUCCAAUUAUACGAUGCCGUAUCAAUUUUAAAAUUUCAUUUUAUAUUUAUAUAUGUAUGUGACAGAUAAAUAAACAAAUCAUUACCAUAUUCCUAAACUCCUACUUCUAUAUGUCUCUCUCACUCUAUAUAUAUUUUAAUCGUAAAAAUUCUUGAUAUAUAAAUAUAAGCACUGUUUUUAAUAGUUCACUUUGAAAAGGAUAUACACACACACAUAUAUAUAGCUUUUAUGCUUUGUGAUUCUUUAUAACAUAGAGUGUAUAUUUUGAGGAUGGUGAUCAAAAUCUGGUAUUGGUUAAAUAAAAAGGUUGUAUAUAAUUUUUAGGAUGAUUUCCAAAAACAUAAUACGACAACAAAUAUUUAUGCCAAACGUAUAAACGGUAUCGUAUUUUUUAAAGAAUUUAGAGGGUUAGUGUCCCUGCUUGAUUAAGUAAAAGAAUAAAUCGAACGUAUUACUUUUAAGUUGUUAAAACAUUUUAUUUUACAUUUACACAGUGCAUUCAAAUUAUUAUUUUUUUUUGGGAGAAAUAGUAAUUGUUAUAUUUUGUCACCUUAGGUUCUUGAAAGUUGACCAUACAUUGGUGUAUAAAGUUCUUACUCUUCUUUUUCUGCAUUUUAAUAUUUGAUACAUGAUAUAUAUUUCUUUCUAAGUAUUUUAUAAAUUAUGAACUUCUUGAAGAAAGUCAUUCUUUCAUUUUAAUUUCAUUUCUUUUCUUAAGUUGGAGAGGAAAACAGUAACUAUAUAUAGACACACCACACAAUAAUUAAAACUAUGUUUAAUUAUUUAAGACAAAUUGUCUGAUAAAGAAGAUAUGUUUUAUUAGCUAAACAAGAUAUCUCCAAAUUUUUAAUUAACAUGUUUAUCUAUAUUGAUAUAUUGAUAUAUUUAACCAAUGUGGGGAGCAAGGGGAAGAGACUAACACCAAAUUUCUUUAUAAAAUUUGACAUAAAAAUGAGUAGUUUGACCAAUGUAGGAGGCCCUAGUUUUGCAAAAUUUCUUCAUAAAAAUUAUUAAUUUAUAUUGGAGUCCUUCCAAUCAAUACGUAUGCAUGGAUUGGAGGAAUAGAAAACGACAUCACAAAAAUAUAUUUUCUUAAUUCUUAGUCAAAGGUGUUGGUUGUCUUAUUCUCCCACAUUCCAUUUCUUUUUUCUUUGUUUCUUUCAAAAUCCUAUUUAAAUCUGAAGGUUUGAGUUAAAUUUUAGGGGUUUGAAUCUGAUCUCAAAAAUAGCUUGUGUCAAGCAAGAAAUUUCGGUCAAUUAAAUUCUGCCACAUCAUCACAACAAAUAUUUUAUAAUUAUAUUUUAUUGAAUUUUAAUACUAAGUUUACUCAAUCCAACCCAAUUCAAGUUCAACAAGCAGAUGGACCCAAGCCCAAUAAAGUAAAUGGGCCCAAGUCCAAGUCCAAACCCAAUAAGGCAAAUGAGUCUAAGCCUAAGCCCAACAGGCAAAUUGGUCAAAGUCCAAGCCCAACAAGCAAAUGAAUCAAAGCCCACCUAAAGCCCACAAAAUUUCUCUAUAAAUAGAGAACUUUAUCAUUCAUUUGAGGAGGUCUCUUGUUGAUGGAAGAAUUGAAGCUCUGAAGUACUGAAACUCUGAAGAAUUGAAGAUUCAAACUUCUAUAAAAUUCUCAAGACGUGCAAGUUCUUAUCAACUUCGAGAUCAUCAUCUUUUGAAAUAUUGAUUACUUGAAAUAUCAAACUUUCCUUGAAUUCCAGAAGACUGAAGCUCAAAUAGACUUGCAACUACAAUAUCCUAAAGAUCGAAGAUCAAGAAAUUCUAAGUUUUUAACUUGUAUUCGAGAGAAAGUAUCAAAGGAGUAAAUACUAGAGAUUGUAUUCACAAUAUUCAUCAAUAUACAAAUUUCAAUUCCACAAAAUACAUUUUUUCGAAAUCUCGUGUGAACAGUAUGUUUUAAAACAAAAACUCAUUUUUAUUUAAACACUCGCAAAUUUUGUUUAAAUUAAAUAACUUUAAAACGGUUUGAGUGUGUUCUAAUUUUUUAAAAAAUGAUUUACUUUUUAAAUUAAACAUUCGAAAAUAAUUUGAAACACAUCCUUAAUCAACUUGAGUUAGAUACAUGCUAUUGCUAUUAAUGUGUUAGGUUAUUAUAGUGAAGAAAUGACAGUGGACUAAAUCUAUUUGUAUGGGGUUAUAUAAGACUAAAUACAAUAGUUUGGAAUUUGGACUAAAUCUUGUAGGGUAAAUCCUUAUAACUCUUUUAUAUCUCUUAUGUUUAAUUUAUUGUGAAUUUAUCUACUAGAAGGAGGAUUUCUUCGGUCCUAAUCAAGGAGUGUUAAAAAAUUUAUUGCCAUUGACAUUAGAGCUUUGAAUUUCGAAUUAAUUAAUAUCAUGAGAACUAUGGAAGUAUGUCGUACAGGGUAUGAAUAAUGAAUAUCACUAAGUGUCAUAGACUGUGAGCUCUAAUAAUACUCUGUUCCAAGAGUAAUUUUCCAUUGAUAUUGUAAUUUUAUUGUUAACACAUCAUUAUUUAAAAUCUGCAAAAUAAGAGAGGCAACCAUGUUUAAAUUGCUAAGAGAUUAUGUAGGCAAAUUAAUGAAACGGAAGUAAAUAGUGUUAAAUGUCAACCAAUCAGAGUGGCGCAGCGGAAGCGUGGUGGGCCCAUAACCCACAGGUCCCAGGAUCGAAACCUGGCUCUGAUAAAUAAAUGUUUACUAAGACAGUCAUUCGGUCCAUCUUGUGUAGGCAUCUUACUCUUUUCAUUAUUGUAUUGUUGAGUCUUUUGAACAUUCCAUUUUUUCCAUAAAGCUCCAAAUUCCUUUAUUUGUGUGUUGUGUCUUGGUGAAGCUUUGUUGUGUUGUGCCUUGGUGAAGCUUUGUUUCCUUGCUUUGCCUAAUGCACAAUGUUUACAGAAAGACAACUUAUUGUUGAUUUCUUGAGGUAGAAUGUCUUGUUUGGAUAGAGCCUCAAGCCUUUUUUGAUUAAUAUGAGACAAUCUUUUGUGCCAAAGAUCAGCCUCAAUUAGACUCAUUUAAUUAUAAAAAGAUCAUUUACCUUUUCUCCAACUAAUACUACUCUAGAGUCCAUAAAAACCUAAAAAACUCCACUUUUUCCCUUGUAUUCACACCCUAAAGAGUCUAGCAUUCUCAGAGAAAUAAGGUUUCUUUUAAGGUGAGGAACAUGUCUACAUUUCUGAAAAGUUUCACAGUCUCAUCUUUUAAUUUUAUGGUGACAUAUCCAAUUCCAACAAUGUUACAUACCUCAUUGUUCUCCACGAAAACUAACUCUCCAUUAAUUUCUUUAUAUGUGUUGAACCAAGAUUUAAAAGGUGUGAUAUGGUAUGUGCAACCUGAAUCUAGAACUCAAUCAUGUUUACUAAAAGAGGAUAUACGAUUGGCUUGGUCUUGAGUUGAUGCCAAAACAUCAGUAUAAGUAUAUGAACUUUCUACUAUAAAGGCUUCAGGUUUCUUUCCUUUUGAAUCUUUUUCUUUCUCUUAAUUCUUUUUCUUAAAGAAAAAGCAAUCUUGGAUUAGAUGUCCCUUCUUCUUGCAAUACUUACAUUUCUUCUUAUGUUCUGCUUUCUUUUUCUCCUUCGAAAGAGGUUUGCUACUGUUUUUCCACUGAGUAGCUUGAGUUUUGCCUUUGACAAAUAAACCAUCUCCACUGUGAUGCUCCUUUUGUGAUGACUAUUUUUCAACUGAUUAGCUUGAGGUGCACUCUUAUCGCACUACCUACCUUCACACGAUUUUGAUAGAAUCUUCGACUUACGCCUCUGUUUCCAUUUUCUACACUUUUUGCUUCCUUUCUCUCAGGACGUUUCAACACUUAUCUGAAAUCAAUCUUCCAUCAAGCGUCCCUUUUCUUCUAGAUCAAGUCCUCACACAUCAAUAACAAUAAGUUCAGUAAUUGAAGAACUCUAAAUCUUAUGGUAGAAAAAGAAAAGGCGAGCAGAAAAGCAAAUUAACAAUACUCAAUAUCAACGAGACAAAAACUUUAAAGGAGAGAAUGUGAAGAUUUUGGUCACUAUCAAGUUGAAUGUCCAAAUUUCUUGAGAAGGCAAAAAAAUGGAUUUGUAGCCAUUCUAUGUGAUGAUGAAUUCGUUCCUUGGUUGGUUCCAACUUUACAGAAGAUAAUGAGCACAUUGACAAAAAAAAGUUUUGAAAGUGAAUGAAUCAUGUAAUGAAGUUCAUCUUACUACGAACCAGUUUGGGAACCCAAGUGUUGAAGAAAUCUAUUAGAAAUGGGAAGAAAAUCACCUUACCUUAGACCAACAGAGGGAUAUAAUUCUAAAACUAAUGAAAGAAAAUCAUCAUCCUUUUCUUCCAUUAAUCAUCAUCAUUUUUACCAUUUCUGACUUGAAGAAAGACUUAAAAGCCUCACGAUUAGAAAUCGAGUCAAUGUCCAAAUCAUAUCAAAUGCUCAACUUAGGGGCAAAUGAUCUUAACAAGAUUCUCAAUGUUGGGAAGCAAGUUGAUGAUAGAAAAGGUGUUCGAUUCCGUGAGUAUAAGAAUAUUAUCUCUAAAAAUGAAUCCUUCUCUUAAACCAUAUUUGAUCAUGCUCAACAUCUCUCUAGGAAUGAGAUCUAUGCAUAAAUAUUUGGACUAAAGGGCCAACAUCUUAUUCUGUCAUCAGAAAUCAAAGAAGAAAAUGGGUGUCACUUUUGUGGAAAGGUCGCCAUAUUGUUUCCAACUCUAUGGCAGACUUAUGAACAAAACUAAAAUGUAUCUUGUUUCACAAAUGAGAUCUAUGCAUACAUUAUUCACUUGUGCAUCUACGAAAAAAUUUGAAUGACAAGUAAAAGAGAAUAUUUCUCUUGGAGAGCUGUUAAUUGUAGUGUUGCUUUUACAUCACUUCGUACUUCAACUAGGGAGGAUUUGAUGAGAUUUAUGUCUUAAAACUCAUAGAUUAUAAAUAUAAUUCAUUGACCGUUAUUAAUAAAGUGUUAUUAUUAUAAUAAAUGUUAUUGAUUAUAUUAUUAAUUUUGUCUUAAUAACCCAAAUCCAAUAAAUUAACAUCCUAAGUUGUUUGAUGAUUUUUGAACAGUACAUAGAAACAUACAUAGAUCAAUGUUUGAGAUUAGCUUAAAGGGUCUAUAGUAGAGGGAUAAGGAUGGGUACCUUAUUCUAGUAACACUAUAGAUACAACUCACUUUGUAUUUGAUACAAAUGCAGUGAUCCAACGCGUUCGUGUAGGUGACAUGCAAGUGAGAGUAUAGUAUUGCAGUGAAUUUGCAUAAAACCAGACCAUGAAAUAGUAAUCAUUAGAUGUAACUUUGUUAACUAGUUAGACUUCUAUUUAACUAUAAUGACUUAAAUAACCUAGUCUUAAUCCUUAGUGUAUUAUGAACUCCUUUUCACGAGGGAUUGUCCUUUGAUUUGUACGAGUGAGAGUGGUCAGAUUACCAACUGGAUAUGCUUAUCAUUUUAGAUACAAGACUGAGUAUGGAGCUGGAAACAUAAUCACACAAGAUGGAAUUCACUUCUUCCCAACUUUAAGUUAAGUAGAUGAGUGUUCCUACAAAGGGUGUCUCCGAGAUUUGAACAAAAGGUCUUACCCUCUCUAUGUCAUGAGAGGGGUUUCUGUUUAUUGGUUGGACCAUAAACAAGUUGUUCAUUAGAGAAGCACUAGUAUUUAAGGAUUGUGACUUGGGGGUAAAACACUAAUUUGAUCCAUCUGGUGUUACGAACACUCGUGAAAGACUAAUUUACUGUUAUUGGUCUAUAUCCAUGAACACAUAAAUAUAUCUACAACGAGAAGAGUUCAGUUGUAAGUCUUUAGUCGAGUGUACACGCAGUUAACGGAUAUUGAUUAAUGUGGUUAAUGAGUUUAAGUCAUUCAUCUCAUCUCGUUGUAGCUUAUGACAUGUAUGUCCAUUAGGUCGUCUUCCUAGCUCGUAAACAGUAAUGAGAUUUAUUUAUAUUGGUUGUAAUUUGAAAUGUUCAAAUUUACUUUGGGAAUUAGUAUAAUGUAUAGUGAUACAUUAUAAUAUAAAGUUUAUGUUUUAAUAAAACUUUAUUAUAUAAGUUUAUUUUUGGAUAUUUUUCAAAAUUAAUUUAAGAGAUAUAAAAUUUUUGAGUGAGUUCAAAUAUUAAUUUAAUGUGAAUUGGAUUCAUAUUAAAAUUAUUGGUUCGGUGAGAAAUUUAUAUUUGAAUAUAAUUCAAAUAUUAAGUUAAAUAUAAGAUAUUUAAUUUAGCUAUUAAUUAAUUGGAUAAUUAUUUAAUAGUUUAGUUUUAUUUUAUUUAAAUAAUUUAAUUUAAUUUAAAAUUAUAAGAUGUUGGAGAAAUAUUUAUUAAAUAUAGUUUAAAUGAAAUAUAGUUUAAUUAAUUAUUAACUGAUUAAUUAAUUUAAAUUUUCUAUUAAUCUAGUGUUUUUUAAAAUUAAUAGAAUCACAUAAUUCUUCCAUACUCCUUCAAUAAAAGAUAGUUAUAAAUAUGUAAAAAAAAAAAAAACAGUUUUUCUUAAUGAAGAAAAAACUAAUGUUUUGCUGUUUGCAAAAAUAGUUUUCUCUCUAAAACUUUUCUUAUCCUAAUUGGUUUCCACAAAUCAAUUUCAUCACAGAGGAUAGAAAGAUCUCCGACAGGUGGUGUCCUCAAAUUUAAAAAUUUAGUAGAUUCAGAGACAUCAAAUUACGUAAGUUUUUCUCUCUUUAAUUUAUACUUUAUUAAAGCAUGCUUAAUAAGAAAACUAGUUUCUUAAUAUUUUUUUUUUUGUCAAUGUAUUGAUAUUUUGGAAUUUCCAAAUUAAAUUGAGAAAUAGUUCUGUAAAAUUUUCUACUACCUAAGACUUUUAUACAUUUCAUAUUGGUGCUUUGACAAAGGUUACUCUAUGCAUAUAACAGGAGAGAAUAUUUUUCUAACUGAUCUAAAGUCAUGUAGUUUGGAACAUGUUAUUUAUGGUGAUUGUGCUAAAGAAAGAAUAAUUGACAAAGAAAAACUUCAAUAUCUUAGACUUCCUCCUUUUAAUGAUGUUAUUUGAUGUUAUUCUUGUGGAAGGCUUAAUAGUAAGUAUCAAAAUGUUAAUUUCUCGAAAGGAAGAUGUCUAGUGACUAAUAGUCAUAAGUCUCUCUUCAUGCAUUAUAGAUAUACAAUCUUAGGGUAAUUGUUACUUGUGGACUCCUAAUGUUUUUAAUUUUGGAUGCAACAUCCCAAAGUACAAUGAAGUUAUGUUUUUUCCUUAGAAAUGUAAAAUUUUCUUAUAGCAACUAAAGUGCUUUUAUAUAGGAAAGUCAGAGUGACUCAAGUUAUUUUUUUAGAAACAAGGUGAAUACUUGUCAAGAUUCUCAAGUAUACCUCACAAAGCUUGUAAUUGGUUGUGUUGAGAUAUUGUUUGAGUCUCAUGUGAUGUGCGAUGACAUUAUUGAUAAUAUUGCUCUUGUUGAAUCUGUAGGUAAAAUCAUUAUUGUCUCAUUUGAAAAUUUGGUGAAUGUUAAAUAUCUUUAUUUGGACAAGGAUAGUAAUAAUGCUUCUAUUAACAUCAAUUGUAUCUCUGAGGUUAAUAAUAACGCUUUUAUUAUUGCUUCAUCUAGGCAUUUGAAUAAUUAUUCUGAGAAUGUGUUAAAGGAUGAUGACAUUGUUUGUUCUGAUGUGUCUUCUAGUGUAACUUCUGAAAAUUGGCCUUAUGAUAUUGGGGUGUUUGUGAAGUACUUGAUUAUUGAUAAUGUUCUAGUUGGUAAAAGUGUUGAGAUAUGAUGGUCAAGAUGAUAGUGUAUGUUAAUAUAUUUUUGUGUUGAAUGCUUGUGCCAAUGCAUCAAUUGUGGAAAAAGAUGAUGUUGAUUUUUUGUUAUAGAAAAAAAACAGUUUUGGAUUCAAUGUUCUAAACGUAAAAUGUAUCGUAAAACAUAUAUCAUAAGUGUGAAUUUUAAAAUUACUCCACCACGUCUAUCUAACUCUCAACCAAAACUCUACUAUAUAUUUAUAAGUAUAGCCUCAUGGAAAAGUUCCAAAUCGAUCUUGUUAUUAUUAUUUAAUUUUUCAAAAUAAUGAAUUUCAUGAACGAAUCUCUUAAUUUUAAAGUAUUCAUCAUUUAAAAUAAUAAAUAGUAUGAUAUAUAUAUAUGACAUAUAUAUAUAUGCAUUCCAUCAUCACUUUUCCAAUACCAAAGGGUAUAUUUCACACACUUCAAUUAAUUAGCCUACUAGCCCCAAUGGUAUUAUUCAAACUACUAAAUAUUAUAAUAUUUACAUAUAUUCUAUGAUAAUAUUUUUUAUUUUCCCCCUUAGAAAUUGAAAAUUCAAAUUGACAAGUACCUACAACCAAUAUUAAAAUACCUAGUAAUUCUCAUAUAAUUUAUUUUGAUAAUUUAAUUUGAAUUUUUGUAUGAAGGUAGAAUGUGUCGUAAAUUUUUAGAUACUAUUUUAAUUCUUAAAAAAAAAUAAGUGUCACGCCAAUUUUUAUUAGCAACGUUGAUUGAAAAAUUCGAUAAAAGAAUAAUAACGAGAUGAAAUUUUGUAAUGACAAUUUCAAAAACGAAAAGUUGAUGUGAAUAAUUUUUUUUGAUGUGAAUAAUUUUUUUUUAAUGUGAAUUGCUUAUUAUUAUUAUUAUUAUUAUUAUUAUUAUUAUUAAUAAGAAUAAGCAUACAAUGUCAUCACUUUAUAGCUAUGCUUAAUGUUUAUAAUUUAAUUUUGAGACUUCCUUCUAUGUUUACUUGUCUCUCUAUCUAACAUGAAUUUAGUCAAUGAUCCACCAACCAUUGUUAACAACCACAAUAUCUUAAGUAACUUGAGCUUUUAUAUAUAACUUUCAGUCUUUCACACAUAUCUUAAAACAAAAAAGAAAGAGAAAGAAAAAAGAUUUACUUAGUCAACAAUAGUCUAUACAAAGAGAUUUCAACUUAAAAAUUGUUCGAUUAAUCAUCAAUAAUUCCCCAUAUGAACUCUUGUAUAUAAUAUGAUAUAAUGAGAGAAAAUAGAAAGAAGCAUAUAGGCAGUCAAAUCAAAAAGUCAAAACAUGAACUCCAUGGACUAUUUGAACUUUUCAUAUUAGGGUUUUCAUGGUCUAAUUCUCCCUAAAGAAUUCCCACCCAAAAAAAAAAGAUUAAAUGAUGUUGAUAUUUUAAAAAAUAAUUAAAUGAUAUUGAUUGGUCAUUGUUAAUUAAUUAUAUUUAUAUUCUCAAGAUAAUGACAAACUUUGGAUGGGAAAAUUCCCACAAAUCAUUUCCUUUACCUUUACCACCAAUAAUUUAAACACUCUCUCUUCUUUGAAUUGGAAGAUCCUAUAUAUAUAUUUGCUUUUUUUUUUUCUUUUUGUCUCUCUUCUUGGCAAUUAAUUAUUAAUUUAGGAAGAAACGUUCAAAAGAAUCACAAAUUCAAAGGUCUAUUUUCUUUUGCGAAGUCUUUUGUUUCACUUUUCUUCGUUCAUAUAUCUUCUUUGUUUUAUAUAUAUUUAUAUGGUGUUUUAAUGAUUAUUUUUUAUUUUUUAAAAAAGAGAUAGAUUUGUUUACAGAUAUCAAGUAUUAGUUUAGAAGAGUAUUAAUCAAAAAGAUUAUAUUGGAAGUUGUUCUCUACACAUUGAAUUCUAUUGUUGAAAACCUAUAGAGCAAAAGACUAAAGAAAACAUGUGAAUUGUAAUAAUUAAUAUGUUAACAUGAGAAAUGUAAGAGUAAUUAAUUUAACAUUAUAAUUUUUAUUCAAACUCUAGUGGGAAUGUACAAGAUGAAAAAGAUGAAAUUAAUGACAAACUUAACUAAUAGUUUUUAUGGUUGAAUUUUCUUUAAGGAUUUUUUAAUGAGAAAUUAUUUCAAUGAAGAAAAUUAAAAUUAUUUCAAUUAAGAAAUGAGAGAACAUUUAUAUGUAAUUCUCUAAUAGUUAAAAUCACUUUUAUAAUUAUUUUCAAAGAUAUAACUCUAUUCAAAACCAAUUUUGAUAAUAUAAAAUUGUAUUUAAAAUUAAAUAUUAAGUUUAUUCUAAGUGAUUGAAGGAGUGUUUCCAAACACGGUACAUUAUAUGAAAAUACCAAACUAAAAAGAAAAAGGAAAAAAAAAGUUGAGUUGCUUAGUAAAAUGGGCCUUACAACAAAAUUGAUAUAGUCGGCCCAAUAUAAAGUUUGAAGCCACCCUGGUUCUCAAUUGGGCUGAUCAUGAACUUCGGCUGGGCCGCAACAUGUUUUGGGUCGUAGCAUGAAUAUUUUCAGAUAUAUUGUUAGUUGGACGCAAUAUUACACAAUUUUUUAAAAGUUUUGUGAUAAACAGAAAUUUUAUAGAUAAAUCAAAUGUGUUUUCAAGGUAGAAUAAACGAGUAAAUAUACACAAACUAAACAAGGAAUGAUAAAAUUAUUAAGAAUUGAGAUGUAAUCAACAUUAUUAAGAAUCAGAUAAGUAAGUGUAGAAAAAACAUGAAUAAUCAAAGACGAAAUUGAAAUAAGAUUGCUCCAAUAACAUUCAUUACGUUUGUAGCAAUAAAUAAAGAUUGAUAAUUUCCACGUGAUUUUUUUGUAAUGUAAAUAUGUGAGUUUAAAAUUUGCAUAGAAAAAAAAUACAUUUUUCAUAGAAUAUUGUUGAGAGAGUUGAAGUUUGGAACACCAUUCAUAUUUGUGAAAAUAAAUUAUUGAUAUUUGAAAUACAAACUAUUUCGUAAAAGUAAUUGUAGCAAACAAGAUUUGAACUUAGAGUUAAAAAGUUGUGUAAAAAGCAUGACCACUACAACAAAAUUAGAGUUUUGACAAAAAUAAGCUAAAUUUAAUAUAUAUAUAUAUAUAUAUAUAUAUAACACUUCAAAAUUAAUAUUAAAAUAUAAAAAUUGAUGAUGUGGGGAGGUACGUGACCCUGACUCCUUUCUAAAUCCGUCCCUAAAUCAAGUAUAGGGAGUUUUUAUUCUUUAGUGAUUUUUUUGUCAUAAAAUAUAAAAAGUUUGUAUUUUUUAUCAUUAUGGAAAAAAAACAUUUUUGAAAAAGGGUUAAAGGAAAUUAUAAUCACACUUUUAAAAAUCCACCAAAAAGUAGGAUGAAAAAUUUACUAAAUCUCUUGAAUAAAAAAAGAAACGUAUUAGAAACAUUUUUUCAAAUUUGAGUUCGUUUGGUAUAAUUUUUGUAAUCAAUCUUAGUAGAAAAAAUUCAUUCUUCCAUUUUCUCUCUCUUUUUUUUUUGCCUUUACGAACUAAUUUAAGAAAAAUAUUGUAAAGGACACUAAUACUUCAUUUUUUUGUUUUUAGUUUGAGGAGUUAAGUUGGAUUGAAUAUAUUAAAAUUUUACUACACAUAAAAUUGAAGCCUAUGAUAGUUAGACACAAAAUUCAAGAUUUAAAAUCUAAUUGGCAACUUAAUUAAGAUAAAAUCUCUAAAUCACCUUUUAAUUUUUCAUUACAUACUUUUUCUUGUAGUAAAAAAAACAAGACACAGUUACAUUUUAUUAAAACGUAGGGUUUAAAGGGAGAAAUAUAUGUACAUAUUAUAACCUCUAAUUCCAUUAACGAUUUUGUAUAUAUAUUAUAUGAUAUUCUCCUAUGAUAAUAACAUUGUUCUAUUCGAAUCUUUUAUCACAUAAAAUCUAGCUAAUACGUUGUCAGUAAACCAUUUAUAUACUUUAUUUUUGAAAGUAUGUUGACGUGACAUAUAAUAAAUAAAAUAACUAAAAAUAAUCUAAAAGCAUAAUAAGUUUUUUAAAGUACGUGUUGGGUUGACACGCGCUAUAAGUUAAAAAUAUCAAAGAUAAAUAACCGAAUUAAAUGUAAAUUAAAAUAUCUUUUAAUAACCAAAUUACAUUUAUUUAAAAGAUAAAUAAAAUAAAUGUGUUCCAUACAACCUGGACAUUAUUGAUUUUGAGCUAUUUAUCACUGUUGACUAUGAACUCUUGUGUUGUCUUAGCUUCUCUUGAUAAAGAAAGAUAAUUUUAGAAUUUGAAUGUUUAAUAUAUAUAUUAUAUUAUAUGUGAGUAUGUAUAUAUAAAUAAUGAGAAAAAAUGAAGUGUGUGGGACCCACGUAUAGAAACAAUGAGAAAAUAAAAUAAUGUGGGGCCUACCCUAUUUUUUUAUAUAUGUUUCAAAUUUUAUAUUAUUUUUAGAAAGGAUCCCAAUAAAUGAUUGAUUUAAUUUAUUUUUAGGUAAACUUUUUUUUAUUAUUAUUUAACUAAUUCAUAAAGCAGAGAGAUCAAAGGAGGAGGAAAAUACUAUUAUUUGUUGGGGCUUAUGGCAGAUUUUGAACACUAAACAUCUAUUUUUUUUAAUAUUGAUCAGAUCUUCAACACCCAACCUUGUUAAAUAUAUACAAUAUUAAAUUAAAUAUUUUUUUAACUACAAUAAAUCUCCGACUGCAAUAUUUAAAUAACUAAAUAUUUCUUUUAAUAUUUCUUUUAAAUUAAUGUAAUUUAUUUAUUAAAAAAUAUUUUAAUUUAUAUUAAAAUUUUUAUUACAUGUCAUUAUUAAUAAUUAAAAAAAUACAUAAUAUUUUUAAUAAUUAAAAAAGUACAAUUAUAUAUUUUCAUACCAUUAUAAAUUUUCAAAAUAACUAAAUUGGAGAAAGAAGACAAUGCCUUGAGUUGAACCUCAGACAAAGGAGAGAGAAAGAGAAAGUAAUGUCUUGGGUUUCAACACAAGAUAAAGGAAAAAGAAAAAAAAAUACUUUUUAAAAUUAUUAAAAACUAUAAUAUUAUAAUAAAUAUUUUUCAAAGUACAUUAAAUCUCAAAAUAUUUUUUUCAUUUAAAAUAUUUAUAUUAAACCUCCUAUUAAAACCUCUAUAUAUAUUAUAUAUGAUAUUCUUCUUUAAUAAUACACCUUAUUUUUAGGAGUGCACUCACGUAACAUACAAUAAAUAAAAUAAUUAAAAAUAAUUGGGUGGUAUAAGAAGUUUUUUAAAGUACGUAUUCUGUUGACACGUGUUAUAAGUCCAAAAUAUCAAUAUAUUCCAAUUGAAAUAUCAAAGAAUAUGUUUUGGAAUUUCAGAAGUGUUAUAAAGAAAGAGAUUGGGUUAGAUGAGUUAAAUUUAAAGGUUGAUAGCAGUGUGUCUUGUGACCAAUAUAUCUGCCACAAAAUUAAAUAAGUAAAAGUGACAAAUUUUUAGGGUUUUAAUGAAAUACACGAGAACUCCAUAAUUUCUCCAGCUGUUUCAACUCCUUAUUUUUCAACCAACUUCCCUUUUAAUGAUCUUAUCUCCUAAACCCUAUUUUUCUCUUUCUCAUUUACUUUUCAAAUGAUCUUAUGGAACACCAAGAUGAUGAUCGCCAAUCCUAUGUCCACCACCAUAUUGCUAGGAAACUCAACUUCAAUGCCCCUCUUUUGACCACACGUCGCCCGGCCGCUAAUGUCGAUCUCGAUCGCCUCAGUAUCUCUGGGUCUGCAAGAAUAUCGUUGUCAACAACUAGUGAUCGAGUUCCAUUUUGUUGGGAGCAAGCUCCGGGCAAGCCUAAGGAGUAUGUUGAGAGAUGUCACGCUGCUGCUCAUGGUGGUGACGCCAUCACUCCUCGUCCUACGCUUCCGCCUGGAUGGUGGCGACCACCCGUUCAAACAAGUAAAGCUUUAUAAACUAUUUUUCAUUGGUAGAUUAUAUAAUUAUUUUGAUAUAUGUCGUUAUGUUAUAUAAAUUUAGUUUAAAUAUAUCAUUUUUACUCGUUUUAAAUUUCGUUUGUAGGAUUUGAAUUUAAUUAAUUUUAGUUUAAUUUCAUUUAGUUUUAGAGUUUGAAUUUGCAUGAAAUGUCUCCUACUAACUCAAAAUUCAUAAAUUUUCUAAUAAUAUUGAUACAUUUAUUCACAACAACUUCAUCAACUCGUAUUAGAAUUUAGGAUUUAGGGUUUAACCAAUAAAAAAAAUAUAUACUUGUGAUACUCAUGUUUAACCCGGAUAAAAUUAAAAUUUUAGAAAACUAAACCUAAAUCAGUCAACAUAUAUUGAUAAUAUAAAACUAUAACCCAAAUUAAAAUUAUCCCCAUAUCAUUAAAAUCAUUUUGGGAUUAGUUUAUACUUGCCUUUUCUAUUUAUAUGUAUUGUGAUUUAAGAUAGAUUAUUUUAUAGGAAUUCUAUAACAAUGUGUUAUAUUAUGUGUUUUACUAAUAAAUAACAUUGUGUCGAAUCCAAGCUAUAUCUCAAUUUUCUCCCUCUAUCAAUUUGCAGGAAGAAACUCUAGACAUCUUCAUUGCAACGAUGGUCAUAGAUGUGAUGACAAUGUAGAUGUUGAUGACGAUAAUGACGAAAAUUCCAGCGGCAGUGGGUAUGUCUUGUCUGAUGUCAUGGAUGUCUUCUCAUUAUCAGAGGCCAUUGACAUAGUUGAGAAGGCCGAGAAAGCGCGUAAAUUUUCCGAUGAGUUGAACCUAAAGGAGUUAAAGCUAUACGAAGAAGAAGAGGAAGAAGAAGAAGGGAAAAACAACGGUAAUUACAACUGCUCAUCAAAUUUCAUGAUCGAGCGGUUUCUACCCGACGCGACAGCAUUGGCAGCAUCGUCGAUGUUGAACCGCCAUGCUUUCUCACCACAGAGGGUGGCGAAGCGGCCAUUUUCUCCGCCGAAAGGUUGUGGGCUAGUCGUGUUGUUUCCAUGGCGGAUAAAGCACCACCAUCAGCUGUGUGGGGUGAAGAGUCCGGUGAGGGACGGUGGUCGGAGCCUGGGAUCAAAAUCUUCAGCAAAACAAAAGAAACAUCAUUAGAUAUUUACUUUGAUUUACUCCUUUUGACGACAAAAACACUAAAUUAAAUUGUCUCUUCCAUAUGUUGUAUAAAUUAUACUAACGUAGUAUACAAAAAUGCAUGCACAACAUGAUUUUAACGGUAGUUAAUGUUGGAAGUUUUGCUGUGUUGUAUGAAUCUGAUCAUUUAAAAAAAAAAAAAAAAAGAAGUUGCCAUGUGUGGCUGUUUUUUACUUAACAUGACAGAGAUAUCAGAUAGGUAUGCAAGGGAGCCCCUAAGUAUUUUUCUUUCUCAUCCAUCACCUUAUAUUUUUAGCAUCUCGUCAAAUUGUUUCAUCACAAUUUAUCAUAUUAAUCUGAAAAAGAUAUUUUAAUUCUUUAUGAUCAUAUGAUUCAAAGCUGUGUUAUAUUGUUCAAGAUGAUAGAGUGAGGAUUAUUUCACCUACCAAAAAAUACUUUUAAGAGCAAAACAUAGGCAAGAACGUCUUUGAAAAAUAAUAUACGUUUGAUUAAGUUUAGUAUAUAACCUUCAUUCUUAUUUUUUUAUUCACUUUAACUUGAAAGCUUAAGUGUAUUUGGGGUUGCGCAAGUUGUAAUGAAUAAUUGAGUAGUAAUUUUGGGAGUGUUAAGAAAACUGAGGAUAUAUAGAGUUAUUAAUUCAAACCCCAUUUUGGUAGAGUAACACAAUAUUUACAAUCCUAUCCUACUACCAAUUUAUAAUGUUUAAUGGGUCUUCUUUUAUUUGACAUUAUUAGAAACACUUUGGGUGUGGGGUGUAUAGAAAACUAACAAACAUGUGUACUAUAUAAGCACUUUUGAUAAAAUAUAAUUCAAACACAUAAAGUGUUUUUAUUUUAAACAAUUUUAUGAAAAUUGUUUAAAUGAAAAUGAUAUUUUAAAAACCAAUUUUUUCUAGUCAAUCUAAAUAUAUGAGCCUACAAUGCAUAAUGUCGUGCUUUACAAAAACCUUUUGAGUUAUCUACAAUAUCUUGCUUUCCAUCUACUCGACUUGAUUUUGUUUUUUCAGUUAAUCAAGUUAGUCAAUUUAUGCAAUGAUCCACCCUCGUGCAUUUCACUUUGAAAAGUGUAUGUAUAUUAUGAUAGCUUUAAGGCACCUCCCAUCUUGGUUUUUCAUUUCAAACCCAAUCAAGGCUUGUUGUCUUUUUUGGCUCCUAUCUAAUCUCUCUUCAUCCAUAUCUGUAGAAAAGAAAAAUUAGUGUCUCUAUCCUUUAUUGAAAAUAUCUUAACUAAUAUAAUCUACUAAAGUGUUUUGAGACACGAUAAUAUUGUUUUUCUUGUGCACAAACUAAUUUUAUAACGUACAUUAUCUCUAUUGUGCUUUAACUAAAACUACUUCUAAAGCCUAGUGAUUAUGUCAACUGUUUUGUGGCCUCCAUGUUUUUUCUUCAAGAGUGGUCUAUUUUAUUAUUACGUGACAGUAUUCCUACCAUUUUCUCUACCUAAUAAGGUUAUAUGGUUACACGCUCCUACACACACACAUAUAUAUAUAUUAAAAUAUAAUAUAAUUUUGAUCAUUAACAAGAUGAUACAUAAAGAAAUUUAUGUUCAAUUCCUCUAUAUGAAGGAUUAAAGUUGUUGAUUUGUUUACCAAUAUGUGACUCUCUCCACACAAUCUUUUCGAUUUUAUGGUGACAAAGUCUGUCAUGGCUUCUCUCCCAUUAUAAAUGAUUCUCUUUUUAAAUAUUUUGUAAUUUUUCUUUAAAUGAUCAUAUUAGCCAACCUAUAAAUAAGCAUAUGCAAUCGAUGUUCUUUGAACAUAUUGAAAAUUGUAAAGUACGUUUAGGUAAGACUAUUGAGUUUCAUGAAAACUUUGUUUUAUACCAAUUUAAUACUUGUUUUGUUUUUCAAAAUUAGUUAUUUUAUGAAGAAAAAAAUUCGAAUGUAAUUUAUUUUUAAGUUAGUCAUCAUUCUUACAAAAUUAAGGAGUUUUCUUUAAGAAAUUAAAUCUCAUGGGUAACAAUAUAGUUUUUAGUUUUUAAUUAUGGUAUUUUUUUUAAUUUCUUACAAUGAUUUUCAUAAAUAACAAAAACAUUAAAAUUUUAACGUGGAUAUAGUGUUUAUAAACUUAAUUGUGAAGAAAAAUUGAAAAAUAACGUUCCUUUUCAAAUUAUUGACAAAAAUGGAAUUCAUUCGAAAAAAUAAACAAAAAUAGGGUUGAUUAGAAAUUAAGCAAAAUAAUUUCAAUUUUAUUAUUGAGAAUUUGAUUAGAAAUUCAAAAUUGGUAAGAAAAUAAUGAAAUUGUGACUAAAAUAAUUAUGAUAUAAACUAAACAAUACUUUGGUUUGUAAAUUUAAAACAAUGUUUUAGAAGGAAUGUUUAUUUUUACAGAAAUAAUUUUCUUUUCAAGUAUAUGAUAAAAAUAAAUAAAUCGAAAAUAAAAUUUAAAAACUUGUAAAAAAAAUAAUAUAAAAAAAGUAACGUCAACAGCAGGAUUCGAACCUGCGCAGGCAAAGCCCAACAGAUUUCGAGUCUGUCUCCUUAACCACUCGGACAUAUUGACUGUUUGAAUAUAAGAUCAAAUGUAAUUAAUAUUAAGUAAAAUAAUAUUGAAUCAAUUAUUUAAUUAGCUGCAGAAAAUGUGUUUUUUUUUUUUAUUUCAAAAGAAUGAGAAAUAAAGCAAAUGAAAUCUUGUAAAAUACAAUAUACCCUCCAUUACGAGUUCUAUUAAUUUGAACUUUUCAUAUAAACAUCAAUUAAUUUCUCCUAAACCAUUUUAGGUUUAUAAUUAAGAUUUUUUAAAUUAUUCAUUUAAAUUAUAAUCAUUCAUUUUGUUUAUUCGACCUUUGAAAAAGUUUAUACAUGUAAAAGAAUUGAUGGAUUAACGAUUUUCAAAUAUAAUCCUAAUAAAAAUACCAUAUAGGUACAUUAGUGAAAAUCAUACUUCCAUAUAAUAAAAGAAUUCGUACAAGCUUCACCAGCCAUACAGUAGGUUGCUAUAUUUUCAAACCUAAAAUAAUUGUGAAAGUUCAACUCACACCCAUUGUCGAAGACAUCAAACAAAUAGCGUCGAUGAUGUUUUUCACUUCUAUUAGAUCCUUUGAGCAACCAAUUAGAAUAUUGAUAAUUUUCAAAGCAUUCGACUCAACAAUAACUAGAAAACACAUUUCUCAAUAAAAUGUGAUUGAAAACAUGUUUGAAACAUUUUCAAAUAGUUCUUAUCGUAAGCGCAUCAUGGCCUAAUUGGGAUUUAGUUAUGAGAAAUUGUAUCAGAUGACAAAAACAUUUAGAAAAAAUGACAGUUCAUGAUACAUUUUUUUGUAUAUUGCAAAUAUGGUAAAUAUGACAAGUAAUUAGUGAUAUCGUACAACUAUUAAACGACUACCAGAUGGUUGUUAGAGGGUUAUUAGAGGAUUAUCGACUUUUAAAUUUACUACUUUUGCAAUUUAUAAAAUGUAGUGACAUAUGUCCUAUUAUUAUAAUAUUUUUUACAAUUUUUGCGAGCGCAUCUUGAGUUAUUGCAUACCAAUACAAAAUUUGGAAAUUUUGGAGAGUCACGAACCAUUAAACUAACCCCUCCUUCUACCAAUGUUCUCAAAUCAUGGUGCAUAAGCGUUUAUCUUCACAUUUGAUAUUGAUAUUUAGGGUUUUUUCGGAAAUAUAAAAAUCGACGAACUAUUUACACUCUAUAAACUAAACCACUUAAAGAUCACUUUUAUUACACUCAAUUUUUUUAUCGAGUUUAAAUAUUUUAUCAAAUAUUAUAUUUUUUACGAGAUAAAUUUUAUAUAAAUGUAAUUAUUAAUUUGGAAUUUAGAUUGGUAAAAUUAGUUUGCUAUGUAUGGGGUGUUUUAAGUUUUUCAAGAAUUAUGUUAAGUUCUAAAAUUUUAAAAUUAAUUUUCUUAAUAGUCUUAAAAGUUUUGUUUGUCCUCUGCAUAACAAACUUAAUGUGGUAUGUGAUUUGACCUUUUUAUUAAUUUAUAAAAUAUUUUGAGAAAUCUCUCGGACGUGAUUUUACACAAAUAUUUUAAAAUUUCAUUUAUUUUCUUAAUUAAAAUUUUAGGUUGACCAUUUUAUCUUUCACAUCAAUUAUAAAUAAUAUUUAUUUUUAAAAAUAUAUAUAAUAUAAUACCAUAAUUACAUGUUAUCACAUUUAUUAUCUAUUUAAUGUAAUAAAUAAUUUAAAUUUUUAUUUUUGCGAUUUUAAUAUGAUAUAAAGUUGCGUCUAAUAUGGUAUUAGUAUAUUAAAUAAUUUCUAUAAAAUAAAUAAAUUUAUUUUUAUUGAAUUUCAUUCAACAUUCAUUUCACACAUUUCUACGCUUUUUCAAUUUAAUUGUCUUAUCUUUUUAAUCUAUCUCUUUGUCCUAUUUUUCUUAUUUCGCUCACAAAAUAAGGAGAUGAAUGAAAUUAAAAAAGAAAUUAACCAACUUUAUUUUAGAAUCACGUAUUUUUACAAAUUUUUAUAAUAUAAUAAUACUAAAUAAAAGAAUUUGGGUGUAGGAUGUAAAAGUUAGAGUUGUUACCACUUUGCAAUAACAACGAGAUAUUAUUGAAAUUUGUAUAUUUUGCAUUGUUCUAUUAUUACGUUACCGUUCAUGCUUACUUAAAAAGAAAAUCAAAAUAAAAAACGUCGACAGCAGGAUUCGAACCUGCGCAGGCAAAGCCCAACAGAUUUCGAGUCUGUCUCCUUAACCACUCGGACAUAUCGACGAAUUUGUUUAUCAAAUAGAAAGAAGCUUUCAAAUCAAUAUUGUAAAUUAAUAAACAUUGAUUUUGGCGCCUAAACAAAAUCGAUUUCUCUCGUUUCGGAGCCCUAGGAAGGAAGAACAGAUAUCGGCCCGAAGCAUAAGUCCCCACCGACCACUGGAAAUUCCCCUUUUUCUUCUUCACAGCCACCUCUCCUUGUUCAUAUCUUCUUCAAUUAAGCAAAAUGGGAGAUUUCGCCACAAAUUCCAACAUUGAGGAGCUCGCAUCUUUUGCCGACGAUUUGGUAGCAAUCUUAAAGGACCCAACUGACGUUCGUAACUUGAAUCAAUGUCUUGAACAUUUCAAGACUCUUCAAUCUUCUUGUGACGAUGAUUUCACUAGUGUUCAAAGCUCACUUGAAGGUAUGUUGACUUCCCUUCUCUAAUAUGGGUUUUAUUCAUAAUCAUUUGGAGGUUUGUAAUUUCGGGUCUUUUGGGGGAGAGCGAAUUCAUAUAAUUUAUUUAACUAGUUACUAAACGAAGCAGAUUAUGAGAAGAAAAUUAAAGCAUGCCGGGAGAAAACAGAAGAGGCCAAAGCGAACACUGUUGCAGAUGAUGAAAUGGAGAUUCUAGAAAAGGAACUCGAAGAGGAGAUUGGGAAAGGGCAUUUGCUUAUGGAGGAGAUAAGAUAAGUGUACGAUUAACUUUAAUUUUGCAUUUUACUUCACGUGAUUGUUUGUUCCUAAUGUAUUUGAGUAUGUAUACGAUGCGCCUGGUUUUUUUCAACACAUUGGUGACCAAUGAGAUUAAUGAACUUGAAUGCCGAAGGGUUUCUGUUCAAGAAAGGAAGCAAGCGAUGAAGAAACUUGAGCAACAAGAACUUUGGGCUCAGUGAGUAUACAUUUUCUGUUUUGAAGUUGCUUUGUCAUCUGUAAUUGUUAAAUGUUAAUUCGGUAGCAAUUAUCUAAAUCCUGUGAAUUUUGAAUCUAUUUCAAAAUUUUGUUGUUUUUAGUAUUAUCUGAUAAACACAGUCUUUUAUGUAUUGUUAGUUAGAACUUGGAAGUACAAAAGCUGUAAUGUAUAUAAGUUAUAGGUUAUUGGCACCUUUGUUUCUCCUAUCGAUUGCUUAUGGUUAGAAAGGUUAACUAGGUAGACAUUCCUCUGAAGAUGGCUGCUUAGUUUUUGAACUAAUGAACGUUUUGUAGGCUAAUAGUUGAUCCAUGAUAUAGAUAAUGGCAACCUCUUUGAAUGGAGUCUCUGUCCUAUGUUGAAAAUAGGAAUCUUUUUUAAGGUAUUUGAAGUUUGUAAAAGAUGAGAGCGAGAAGAAACAAAGGUAACGAUGAUUAGUAAGCAACACUACCAAGUACAAAAAGUUGUCAAAUUCAUUAUUUACUAAAGAGGUGAACUAGAAUUACAUCGAGCGUUAGGAAUACAAACAAAGUCUCACAUUGACUAGAAAAGAGAGAAAUCUACAGUUCCAUUGAUAUGAGGUUUUUUUUUU